UUUUUUUUUUGUUUUUGAAAGCGAGAAAGAAAGUAAACAUGCAUGAGACAAAUGCAAUAACACAAAAAGAACACAAAAGAACUUCAUCUAGAGUUGGGCGGUGACAUAGUCACCUAUGUUAGAGUAUAUUGACUUAGGAGUCAAGUGAGAACACUUGAUCAUAGGUCAUACUCAUCGUUUAAGCUCAAAAUGGGGUUGCCAUUUUUCGUUUAAGCAUUUUGAUGUAUUCACAUCUUGUUGAGUUGCUUUGACUCAUGUCUUGGAGUAAAGCUUCUCUAAGAUGGAAUAACAUACCUUGGGUGGUGGUGUGGUUCUUGCUCAUGUAGUUGAACUUGUGUGGGUGCUCAAGGUUGAUGUAGCUCAUCAAGAGUUGGGAGCACCACGUGGAGUUUGAGUUCAUCUACCUACAUGGGUUAGUUCUUGCAAGGAAGAGCACUUGUGUAUCCAAAAAUGACAAUCAUGAAGCUCAACAUAGAAUUUGUCAAAGGAUAUGUUUGAAUGGUUUUGUGCUUCCUUGUCUUCAACCAUCGUUGUGUAGAGACUUGGUGAUGUAGAGAUUGCUCAAGAUGUGAGUGAGUCGCAAUCUCAUGGAAUUAGGUUCAACCAAGCACCUACAUGGGUUAGACAACACGCAAGGUACAAAUAUAUCCAAGACAUAAGAUAGUCAUCAUAAGAGAUAUAUCAUGGAUUAGUCAUAAGCUCAUGUAUUGCAUGUAUCCAAUGGAGUUCCUACUCCAAGUUCGAAGCAUCAAUAAUGUUCAAUUCACCUCUCAACCUGCAAAACACUUUCUCAUCAAGUGGUUUAGUGAAUAUAUCCGCUAAUUGCUUAUCAGUGCGAACAUGCUUAAGAUCAAUGUCACCCUUAGCAACAUGGUCUCGAAUGAAAUGAUGACGAACUUCAAUAUGCUUAGUUCGAGAAUGUUGUACAGGAUUAUGACCAAUUUUGAUAGCACUUUCAUUAUCACAAAGCAGUGGAACAUGUUUCACAUAGAUCCCAUAAUCUUUAAGAGUUUGGGUCAUCCAAAGUAAUUGAGCACAACAUGAACCAGCGGCAAUGUAUUCCGCUUCGGCGGUGGAUAAGGAUACUGAGUUUUCUUUCUUGGAAGACCAAGACACAAGAGAUCUACCAAGAAAUUGACAAGUACCCGAAGUUGACUUUCUAUCAACCUUGUCUUCGGCAUAAUCCGAGUCGGAAUAGCCAACAAGAUCAAAAGAAGAUCUCUUAGGAUACCAAAUGCCAAAGUUUGGUGUAUGAAUUAAGUAUCUUACUAUCCUUUUCACGGCCUUAAGAUGACAUUCUUUAGGAGCAGCUUGAUAUCAUGCACACAUGCACACACUUAGCAUAAUAUCAGGACGUGAAGCACAUAGGUAUAACAAUGAACCAAUCAUAGAGCGAUAAACCUUUUGAUCAACCGGUUCACCAUCUUUGGUAAAAUCAUUAUGUCCACUAGUAGGCAUGGGUGUAGACAUACCUUUGCAUUCUUGCAUAUUGAACUUCUUGAAUAAGUCCUUGGUGUACUUCGUUUGAGAGACAAAUGUACCUUCCUUAGUUUGCUUGAUUUGCAAACCGAGAAAGAAUUUGAGUUCACUCAUCAUAGACAUCUCAAACUUCUCUGACAUUAGCUUUCCAAACUUUUCACUAAAGAGAGGGUUAGUUGAACCAAAUAUGAUAUCAUCAACAUAAAUUUGGCAUACAAAUUGUUCUCCAUUAACCCUUUUAGUAAAAAGAGUAGAAUCAAUUUUACCGAUUUCAAAACCACUUGCAAUAAGGAACUUGGUCAAGCAUUUAUACCAUGCUCUAGGAGCUUGUUUAAGACCAUAAAGAGCUUUGUGAAGUUUGUAAACAUGAUUUGGUUUCUUAGGAUUGACAAAGCCGGGAGGUUGUUUGACAUAAACUUCCUCCUCUAUUUCACCAUUUAGAAAAGCACUUUUAAUGUCCAUUUGGUACAAGGUGAUAUUAUGGUGAUUAGCAUAGGCAAGUAAGAUGCGAAUGGACUCAAGUCUAGCAACGGGAGCAUAUGUCUCACCAUAGUCCAUACCUUCGACUUGUGUGUACCCUUGGGCGACGAGACGUGCUUUGUUGCGAACCACUUGUCCAUCUUCAUCUUGCUUGUUGCGAAACACCCAUUUGGUACCAAUGAUGUUGUGGUUGUUGUCGGGCUUCUCAACCAAUGUCCAAACUUGGUUUCUCUCAAAGUUGUGUAGCUCUUCAUGCAUAGCGUUUAUCCAAUCCGGAUCUUCCAAUGCUUCUUCAACCUUCAUAGGUUCAAUGCUAAAGAUGAAUGAAUAGUUUUCACAAAAGUUAGCUAAACGAGUCUUUGAGCGAGUGAUUCUCCCGGUUUGUAUAUCAUUGAAGAUUUUCUCGACGGGAUGAUCUUUGGCAAUUCUUGCUCGAACUCGUGAGAGCUUUUGCUUGGGUCUUCAUUGAACAUCUUCUUCAUCUUGUUCUUCUUCUUGGCCUUCUUCAUUGUUGACGUUGUCGUUCUCUUGUCGUGGUGGAGAAGGAGGUUGUUGAUGUUCGUCUUGAUGCAUUUCCUUGUCUUCUUCAUCUUGGUGUGUCCCGCUUGUGGAUGCUUCCGUAUCAAUUCUUUGUUCACCUUGUCGUGAAGUAGAAGCUUCCACUUGGACGGAUGAAGUACUCUCCUUCACCUCCGUUGGACGAACUUUGCCUAUGGACAAGUCUUGGAUUGCUUCUGAAGGGUCUUUGUCUCCUACAUCAAUUGGCAAUUGCUCUACUUGCGAGCCAUUAGAUUCAUCAAACUUCACAUCUACCAUCUCUUCAACCUUUCGGGUGAAAUUGUUGUAUACACAGUAAGUGUGGGAGUUUGAGCCAUAACCAAGUAGGAAACCUUCAUGAGAUUUGGGAGCAAACUUUGAACGACGAUGCUUAUCAAGAAUGUAGCACUUUGAGCCGAAUACUCGAAAGUAUCCAACUUGGGGUUUGUUACCGGUGAGGAGCUCGUAUGUCGUCUUGCCGAGUAGCUUGUGAAGAUACAAGCGAUUUGUUGUGUGACAAGCUGUCUCAACCGCUUCUGCCCAAAAGUGCUUCGGCGUCUUGUAUUCAUCAAGCAUCAUUCUUGCCAUUUCGAUGAGCGUCCGGUUCUUCCUCUCAACAACUCCAUUUUGUUGAGGUGUGUACGUAGCCAAGAACUCGUGUGAAAUCCCUUCUUCGUCAAGAAAGGUGUCCACAUUUGCGUUCUUGAACUCCGUUCCGUUGUCACUCCGAACUUUCUUGAUCUUCACAUCAAACUAAUUUUGGGCCUUCCUAGCAAAGUUUUUGAAGAUCUUCUGGACCCGCGACUUGUUAUUAAGAAAGAACACCCACGUAAAUCUUGAAAAAUCAUCAACUAUAACUAGACCAAAAGAAUUUCCACCGAGACUCUUGUAGGCGUUGGGACCAAAAAGAUCCAUAUGAAGUAGCUCGAGUGGCCUCCUUGUGGUCAUGAUGUUCUUCACGGGAUCCCUUCCUCCAACCUGUUUACCUGCUUGACAAGCACUGCAAAGUCUAUCCUUAUCAAAUAUGACAUCAUUAACUCCAAGGAUAUGAUUUCCUUUAAUAAGCUUGUCAAGGUUUCUCAUGCCAACGUGACCUAGUCGUCUAUGCCACAACCAACCUUUUGAGGAUUUAGCAAUAAGGCAAGUUUUAGGUUGUGCCUUUUUAGAGAAAUCGACAAUGUAAAGAUCACCUCUACGCAUACCGGUAAAGACCAUUUUAUGAUUGUCUCGACGAAAUACUUGGCAAUCUACCUCAGUAAAUAGGACAUUCAAACCGAAAUCAGCAAGUCUAGAUACUGAAAGUAAGUUGUAGCCGAGAGAUUCAACGAGCAUGACAUUUUGAAUGGAGCUAUCAUGUGAGAUGGCCACCUUACCAAGGCCAACCACUUUACCCUUUGAAUUAUCACCAAAGGUGACAUAUUUUUGAGGGCCGUCAUUUUCAGCAAGCUCACGGAACAUCUCCUCAUCUCCGGUCAUAUGAUCAGUACAUCCACUAUCAAGAACCCAUUCCUUUCCUCCUGACGCAUAUCCCCGAAGAUUUUCCGUAAGACCAAAAUGUCUCAUUUCAUCAUCAAGAUCGAAGUCACGGUCAUCAUCAUCAUAGUAUCCAUGUUCACCAUGAUCUUGUGACUCAUCAUUUCCUAGAGAGGGUAACUCAUUAGAUAAAUGAUCAUCAAAGUGGUCACUUUUAUGAAUUCUUAUGGCUUCGAAUAUAAUAUCACUAAUGAUUCCAACAUCUCCUUUAGCAUGCUUGAGAUUGGUAAGCUCAAAUAGACAAUCACCAAAACUAGGAUCACUAGAGUUCAUCUUACUCAAGGCAAUAGAUUUAUGGAGAAUUUCAUCCAAAUUUUUCAAGGAAUGACCGGGAAAUCGUUCCUCAAGAAAUUUCCAUAUAGUAUAGGCACAAUUAAGAGGAGGCAAACUAGCAAUCAAAUUUCUGGGAAAUCCUCUAAUGAUGAGCUCGAUAGUUCUAAGAUUGCGAAUCAUGUCAAUAUCUUCAUCUAGGGUAGGAUGCAGAGGAUCAAUAUGAAGUGCACAAGGGCUAGCAAUAUACUUGUUCAAAUGAUAUUGAUUGAAGAUUACAAGCAUCUCAUUUUUCCACUCAUGAAAAUAUUCUCCAUCAAGAAUAGGCACUCUAUGUCUAAGACUCCCUAAAGUAGACACAUCCAUCUUCCUCCAAUGGUGAUUAAACCAAGGCAAUGGAGACCAAAGCUCUGAUACCACUUGUAGGACCUAGAAGUUGAUGUGUCUAGAGGGGGGGUGAUUAGACACUUAAUGCUAAAGUUGCAAUUUUUAAGCUUUUUCAGUUUGAGUGGGGUUUAGGCAUAAUUUCAACAUUCACAAUACAUAUCAAGCAAGUAUGCAAAGAGUGUAUAGGCAGCGGAAAGUAAAGCAUGCAACUUGCAAGAAUGUAAAGGGAAGGGUUUGGAGAAUUCAAAUGCAAUUGGAGACACGGAUGUUUUUCCCGUGGUUUGGAUAGGUGGUGCUCUCCUACAUCCACGUUGAUGGAGACUUCAACCCACGAAGGGUAACGGUUGCGCGAGUCCACGGAGGGCUCCACCCACGAAGGGUCCACGAAGAAGCAACCUUGUCUAUCCCACCAUGGCCAUCGCCCACGAAGGACUUGCCUCACUAGCGGUAGAUCUUCACGAAGUAGGCGAUCUCCUUGCCCUUACAAACUCCUUGGUUCAACUCCACAAUCUUGUCAGAGGCUCCCAAGUGACACCUAGCCAAUCUAGGAGACAUCACUCUCCAAGAAGUAACAAACGGUGUGUUGAUGAUGAACUCCUUGCUCUUGUGCUUCAAAUGAUAGUCUCCCCAACACUCAACUCUCUCUCAUAGGAUUUGGAUCUGGUGGAAAGAAGGUUUGAGUGGAAAGCAACUUGGGGAAGGCUAGAGAUCAAGAUUCAUAUGGUAGGAAUGGAAUAUCUUGACCUCAACACAUGAGUAGGUAGUUCUUUCUCAGAAAUAGGAUGCUGGAAGUGUAGGCUUAGUCUGAUGGCUCUCUUUACGAAUGAAGAGGAGGUGGAGGGGUAUAUAUAGCCUCCACACAAAAGCCAACCGUUACACACAAUUUACCAAUCUCGGUGGGACCGAAUCAACAAACUCGGUCCGACCGAAAAGGCAAACCUAGUGACCGUUAGAGAUUUUCGGUGGGACCGACUGGAUCAACUCGGUGGGACCGAUGUGCUAGGGUUAGGGUAAAUCCAAAACUCGGUUUGACCGAUUACUCAAACUCGGUGAGACCGAUUUGGGUAAUAAGCGAAACAGAGAGUUGGCCAAGCAAACUCGGUGGGGCCGAUUGCAUAUCUCGGUGGGACCGAAAAUAUUGCAAUAGGUAACAGAGCGUUUGUAAGCCCAUCUCGAUGAGACCGAGAUCCCAUCGGUGAGACCGAACUGAUUAGGGUUUCUGGCAGUGGCUAUGACAAUUGAAACUCGGUGGCGCCGGAUAGAAAUAAUCAGUAGGUCCGAGUUUGGCUUUAGGUCUAGGUCAUAUGUGGAAGUGGGAAAGUAGCUGAGGAUUUUGGAGCAUAUCAUUAAGCACUUGAGCAAGAGGCUCAUUAAGCAACACCUCAUCCCUCCUUGAUAGUAUUGGCUUUUCCUAUGGACUCAAUGUGAUCUUGGAUCACUAAACAUGUAAAAUGAAUAGUCUUGAGCUUUGAGGUUUAGCCAAUCCUUUGUCCUUAGCAUCUUGGAGAACUUCCCACGGCCUUUAGUCCAUGCCACUCCAUUGUUGAACUUAUCUGAAAUAUACUAGAUAGAAACGUUAGUCCAACAAGAGAUAUGUUGUCAUUAAUUACCAAAACCACCUAGGGAGCACUUGUGUUUUCAAAUGGUCGUCGGAAAACUUUAUGGAUCAUGCAGGAAUCAAAGAAGAAUUUAACGCAUAUUUGCCUAAUGCCGGUCUUGAGGACUUUGAGGCAGACAAAUGCCCCCAGUAUCAUGAUCUCACAAGCUCCUUUGUGAGGAGGUUUGAGUAUUCAUCUUUGCGUAAUUCUCCUUCAGUCAUGUUUGAUCUUUAUGACAAAUCUUAUACCAUGGACUUAGAGGAUUUCACUUUUGCUUGCAAACUUCCACAAUGGGGUAGUGUUAGGGAUCCCCCUAAGUCUGAAUUUAGAAACUUUCUUGCUAGUAUAACUGUAGGGGAAUCUAGAGACAUAACGCAAGCUACCAUAGGGAGCAUUCACUUUCCUGCUAUAUAUUAUUUUGCUCUCUUCAAAGGUAGGUGCGUAAAUGCUAAGGAUGAAGUAUGUCACAUGUGUGUCCCUGACCUUAGCAUUCUCAGGAGUGCUGUGUCAGGAGACCAAUCUUAUCAUAUGGGAGCCAUUGUAGCUCGUAGGUGGCAUCAUAAUAGAUAUAAUGGAGAUUUCUUUGGAGGAAUUUAUGCAACCCGCUUAGCUAAAUUUCUUGAGAUAGACGUUCGUGAAGGAGACAUGGAGUUGCCUCCUGCUUAUUUAGAUUUUGAUUCUAUGGUUUCUCACCAGUUUGUUGAGAGGACUGAGCCACCUCUCCAGUAUCGAUUAAUCUUUAACAAACGGCAUGUUUUCCGUAUUACUCUCCCUGCUCCUGCCUUCUUUGAUCACCAAGCAAACGGAAGAUAUACUAUUACCAGAGAGGAGGCAGAUGAGUAUGAGAGGAGAGCGGAGGCAGCCCGACUCCACGCUGCAGCUCAGGAGGCGAUAGCCGCUGCAUCACAGUACAACCCCAACUAUUCUUCGUCAUAGUACGACCCCAGCUACACCUACGGGUAUCCACCAGGCUAUCCCUGGCAAUAAACCAACUUAGGCCAAAAGCCUAAGCUUGGGGGAGUACGUAUUUCUCACCGACAUUACAUUUAUGUUCACACACACUCAUUGCUAGAUGUCGGUGCUCAUACUCUUUCACUGUAAUAUCCAUGCUAGAUUAUUUUCUUUUUCUCGCUUUCUUCUUGUGUGUUUGUUAAACCUUAAGAAAAACCAAAAAAAAUUAGUAGUAGUUUACUUUUCUUGCUGUAGUAAUAAUUAAAAAUAAAACCCAAAAAUAUUUCCCGUUCUUCUUUUGCUUGUUGGGAGCUUUCCCGUGUAAAUAGUUUUAUUUCUUUUCUUUUCUUUGGGGGUCAGUAGGAGAAGACCAUGAUUAAAUUGUGAAGUGGCUCUUAUAUGCUUUAUUUUUGAUUUAACCAAGAGUCCAUAUUGCUUUGCCUUCUUCUGUUUAUUGAAUGCUCGCAGAUUCCAGCUUAGUCCAAUGCACGUGCACUCUUAUUAUUAUUCACAUCGUUCGGUCGUGCAAGUGAAAGGCAAUUAUGAUGAUAUAUGAUGGACUGACUGAGAUGAGAAAAGCUGGUAUGAACUCGACCUCUUUUGUUUUUGUAAAUAUGAUGAGUUCAUCGUUCUUGAUUCAGCUUGUUAUGAAUAAACAUGUUUGCAAUGACAAUUAGAGAUCAUAGUUGCGUGUGCCAUGCUUGAUUAGCUAUGAGUUAUAAUGGUUUACCUUGCGUGCCAACAUGCUAUUGAGAUGGUUAUGAUGUGGUAUGAUGGGGUGGUAUCCUCCUUUGAAUGAUUUAAGUGACUUGACUUGGCACAUGUUCACGCAUGUAGUUGAAACAAAUCAACAUAGCCUUCACGAUAUUUAUGUUCAUGGUGGAUUAUAUCCUACUCAUGCUUGCAUCCAAUGUUUAUUAAUUUUAAUGCAUGUACAUGGCUGUUGUCGCUCUCUAGUUGGUCGCUUCCCAGUCUUUUGCUAGCCUUCACCUGUACUAAGCGGGAAUACUGCUUGUGCAUCCAAUCCCUUAAACCCCAAAGUUAUUCCAGAUAAGUCCACUAUACCUUCCUAUAUGCGGUAUCUACCUGCCGUUCCAAGUAAAUUUGUAUGUGCCAAACUCUAAACCUUCAAAUAAACAUUCUGUUUUGUAUGCUCGAAUAGCUCAUGUAUCAACCAAGGCUGCCCUUAUCUUCCAUGUUAGGCGGGUUAUUCUCAAGAGGAGUGGACUCCGCUCCUCACUCACGAGAAAAUGGCUGGUCACCGGGAUGCCCAGUCCCAUGCUUUAUGCAAACUAAAUCAAAAUUAAUUGCAAACAAAACUCCCCUUGGGACUUGAUGUAUGUUGGAGGCACUCGUUGUUUCGAGCAAGCCAUGGAUUGAUGCUUGUUGGUGGAGGGGGAGUAUAAACUUUACCAUUCUGUUUGGGAACCUCCUAUAAUGUGUGUAGCAUGGAAGAUAUCGCCAUCUCUUAGUUGCUAUGUUGACAAUGAAAGUAUACCGCUCAAAAUAUUAAUUAUCUCUAUUUCAAAACCGAGCUCUGGCACCUCUACAAAUCCCUGCUUCCCUCUGCGAAGGGCCUAUCCAUUUACUUUUAUGUUGAGUCAUCACCCUCUUAUUAAAAGCACUAGCUGGAGAGCACAGCUGUCAUUUGCAUUCAUCACUGUUGAUUUACAUUGGGUGUGACUAUGAUUGGAUCUCUUUUACCAUGAAUUACAAUGUCUAGUCAGUCCUUGAUCUUUAAAGGUGCUCUGCAUUUAUGUUUUGCGGUCUCAGAAAGGGCUAGCGAGAUACCAUCUUGUUAUAUCAUAUUAUGAUUGUUUUGAGAAAGUGUUGUCAUCCAAGAUUUAUUAUUAUGGCUUGCUAGUUGAUUAUGUUAUUGAUAUGGGUAAUCAUGAGACCUGAGAAUUAUUGCAAAUGUGGUUAGUUAUAAUCUUUGCUGAAAACUUGAAUGCUGGCUUGACAUAUUUACAACAACAAGAGCAAACAGAGUUUGUAAAAGUUUUUCUUUAGUUCUUUCAGUUUGUCAACUGAAUUGCUUGAGGACAAGCAAGGGUUUAAGCUUGGGGGAGUUGAUACGUCUCCGUCGUAUCUACUUCUCCAAACACUUUUGCCCUUGUUUUGGACUCUAACUUGUAUGAUUUGAAUGGAACUAACCCAGAUUGACGCUGUUUUCAGCAGAAUUGCCAUGAUGUUGUUUUAUGUUCUAAAAACAAAAGUUCUCGGAAUGACCUGAAACUCCACAGAAUAUCUUACAAUAAAUAAUAAAAAAUCCUCGCCAAAGAUGAAGACCAGGGGGCCCACACCCUGUCCACGAGGGUAGGCCCCCCCCCUAGGGCGCGCCCCCUACCUCGUGGGCCCCCUGGAGACCUUUCGACUCCAACUCCAACUCUAUAUAUUUGCUUUCGGGGAGAAAAAAAUAGGAGAGAAUAAAUCAUCGCGUUUUACGAUACGGAGCCGUCGCCAAGCCCUAAAACCUCUCGGGAGGGCUGAUCUGGAGUCCAUUCGGGGCUCCGGAAAGGGGGACUCGUCGCCGUCGUCAUCAUCAACCAUCCUCCAUCACCAAUUUCAUGAUGCUCACCGCCGUGCGUGAGUAAUUCCAUCGUAGGCUUGCUGGAUGGUGAUGGGUUGGAUGAGAUUUAUCAUGUAAUGGAGUUAGUUUUGUUAGGGUUUGAUCCCUAGUAUCCACUAUGUUCUGAGAUUGAUGUUGCUAUGACUUUGCUAUGCUUAAUGCUUGUCACUAGGGCCCGAGUGCCAUGAUUUCAGAUCUGAACCUAUUAUGUUUUCAUGAAUAUAUGUGAGUUCUUGAUCCUAUCUUGCAAGUCUAUAGUCACCUACUAUGUGUUAUGAUCCGGCAACCCCGAAGUGACAAUAAUCGGGACCACUCCCGGUGAUGACCAUAGUUUGAGGAGUUCAUGUAUUCACUAUGUGCUAAUGCUUUGUUCCUGUUCUCUAUUAAAAGGAGGCCUUAAUAUCCCUUAGUUUCCAUUAGGACCCCGCUGAGGGUAGGACAAAAGAUGUCAUGCAAGUUCUUUUCCAUAAGCACGUAUGACUAUAUUCGGAAUACAUGCCUACAUUACAUUGAUGAAUUGGAGCUAGUUCUGUGUCACCCUAUGUUAUGAAUGUUACAUGAUGAACCGCAUCCGGCAUAAUUAUCCAUCGCUGAUCCGAUGCCUACGAGCUUUCCAUAUACUGGUUUACGCUUAUUUACUUUCCCGUUGAUAUUGUUACAAUCACUACAAAAUACCAAAAAUAUUACUUUGCUUUCAUUACUCUUUUGUUACCGUUACCACCACUAUCAUAUUACUUUGCUACUAAACACUUUGCUGCAGAUACUAAGUUUCCAGGUGUGGUUGAAUUGAAAACUCAACCGCUAAUACUUGAGAAUAUUCUUUGGCUCCCCUUGUGUCGAAUCAAUAAAUUUGGGUUGAAUACUCUACCCUCGAAAGUUGUUGCGAUCCCCUAUACUUGUGGGUUAUCACUUUCUUGGCAGCUAUGAGGAUAAUCCUCAGGUUACGGACCCAGUUCGUGUAGUUGCUGCCAUCGUCUUUCAGCUUGGUUUUCUCUAGGAACGUGUUGAAGUUGAGGGCAACAUUAGCAUGGGCCAUUUGAUCUACAAGACAUAUUGCAAAGAUUUUAGACUAUGUUCAUGAUAAUUAAGUUCAUCUAAUCAAAUUAUUUAAUGAACUCCCACUCAGAUAGACAUCCCUCUAGUCAUCUAAGCGAUACAUGAUCCGAGUCAACUAGGCCGUGUCCGAUCAUCACGUGAGACGAGCUAGUCAUCAUCGGUGAACAUCUUCAUGUUGAUCGUAUCUUCUAUACGACUCAUGUUCGACCUUUCGGUCUUCUGUGUUCUGAGGCCAUGUUUGUACAUGCUAGGCUCGUCAAGUCAACCUAAGUGUAUUGCGUGUGUAAAUCUGGCUUACACCCAUUGUAUGCGAAUGUUAGAACCUAUCACACCCGAUCAUCACGUGGUGCUUCGGAACAAUGGACCUUAGCAACGGUGCACAGUUAGGGGGAACACCAUUCUUGAUAUUUUAAUGAGGGAUCAUCUUAUUUAUGCUACCGUUGUUCUAAGCAAAUAAGAUGUAAAAACAUGAUAAACAUCGCAUGCAAUCAAAUAGUGACAUGAUAUGGCCAAUAUCAUUUUCCUCCUUUUGAUCUCCAUCUUCGGGGCGCCAUGAUCAUCAUCGUCACCGGCAUGACACCAUGACCUCCAUCAUCAUGAUCUCCAUCAUCAUGUCUUCAUGAAGUUGUCUCGCCAACUAUUACUUCUACUACUAUGGCUAACGAUUAGAGAUAAAGUAAAGUAAUUACAUGACGUUUAUGUUGACAUGCAUGUCAUAAAUAAAUUAAGACAACUCAUAUGGCUCCUGCCGGUUAUCAUACUCAUCGACAUGCAAGUCAUGAUUCCUAUUACAAGAACAUGAUCAAUCUCAUGCAUCACAUAUAUCAUUCAUCACAUCCUUUUGGCCAUAUCACAUCACACGACAUAUGCUGCAAAAACAAGUCAGACAUCCUCUAAUUGUUGUUGCAAGUUUUUACGUGGCUGCUAUAGGUUUCUAGCAAGAACGUUUCUUACCUACGCCAAAACCACAACGUGAUAUGCCAAUUUCUAUCUACCCUUCAUAAGGACCCUUUUCAUCGAAUCCGAUCCGACUAAAGUGGGAGAGACAGACACCCGCUAGCCACCUUAUGCAACUAGUGCAUGUCAGUCGGUGGAACCAGUCUCACGUAAGCGUACGUGUAAGGUCGGUCCGGGCCGCUUCAUCCCACGAUGCCGCCGAAUCAAGAUAAGACUAGUAACGGCAAGUAAAUUGAAAAAAUCGAUGCCCACAACAACUUGUGUUCUACUCGUGCAUAGAAACUACGCAUAGACCUAGCUCAUGAUGCCAUUAUUGGGGAUCGUUGCAGAAAUUAAAAAAAUUCUACGCAUCACCAAGAUCAAUAUAUGGAGUAACUAGCAAUGAGAUAGAGGGGAGUGCAUCUUCAUACCCUUGAAGAUCGCGAGUCGGAAGCGUUGCAAGAACGCGGUUGGAGGAGUCGUACACGUAGCGAUUCAGAUCGCGGCCGAAUCCGAUCUAAGCACCGAACAACAGUGCCUCCACGUUCAACACACGUGCAGCCCGGUGACGUCUCCCGCGCCUUGAUCCAGCAAGGAGGAGGGAGAGGUUGAGGAAGAAGGCUCUAACAGCAGCACGACGGCGUGGUGGUGAUGGAGUGGUAGUUCUCCGGCAGGGCUUCGCCAAGCUCACGCGGAGGAGGAGAGGUGUUGGGGAGGGGAGGGGCUGCGCCUUGGAUGUGGUCCUGCAGCCCUCCUCUCGCCCCUCUAUUUAUAGGGAGAAUGGGGAAGGGGGCGGCCCCUCUAGAUGAGAUCUAGAGGGGGGGCGGCAGCCAAGGGGGAGGGGGCUUGCCCCCCAAGCAAGGGGGGCGCCCCCUUUAGGGUUCCCCCCAAAACCUAGGCGCAUGGGCCCUAGGGGGGAUGGCGCCCGGCCCACUAGGGGCUCGUUCCCUUCCACCUAUAGCCCAUAAGGCCCUCCGGGGCAGCUGGACCCCCGGAACCCCUCCGGUGGUCCCGGUACAAUACCAGUAUACCCCCGAAUAUUUCUGGUGACCGUAUGAUGACUUCCCAUAUAUAAAUCUCCACCUCCGGACUAUUCCGGAACUCCUCGUGACGUCCGGGAUCUCAUCCGGGACUCCGAAAAACAUUCGGUAAUCACAUACAAAUCUUCCUAAUAACCCUAGCGUCAUCGAACCUUAAGUGUGUAGACCCUACGGGUUCGGGAACCAUGCAGACAUGACCGAGACAACUCUCCGGCCAAUAACCAACAGUGGGAUCUGGAUACCCAUGUUGGCUCCCACAUGUUCCAUGAUGAUCUCAUCGGAUGAACCACGAUGUCGAGGAUUCAAGCAAUCCCGUAUACAAUUCCCUUUGUCAAUCGGUACGUUACUUGCCCGAGAUUCGAUCGUCGGUAUCCCAAUACCUCGUUCAAUCUCGUUACUGGCAAGUCACUUUACUCAUUCCGUAAUGCAUGAUCCCGUGACCAACUACUUAGUCACAAUGAGCUCAUUAUGAUGAUGCAUUACCGAGUGGGCCCAGAGAUACCUCUCCAUCAUACGGAGUGACAAAUCCCAGUCUCGAUUCGUGCCAACCCAACAGACACUUUCGGAGAUACCUGUAGUGCACCUUUAUAGCCACCUAGUUACGUUGUGACAUUUGGCACACCCAAAGUAUUCCUACAGUAUCCGGGAGUUGCACAAUAUCAUGGUCUAAGGAAAAGAUACUUGACAUUAGAAAAGCUUUAGCAGACGAACUACACGAUCUUGCGCUAUGCUUAGGAUUGGGUCUUGUCCAUCACAUCAUUCUCCUAAUGAUGUGAUCCCGUUAUCAAUGACAUCCAAUGUCCAUGGUCAGGAAACCAUAACCAUCUAUUGAUCAACGAGCUAGUCAACUAGAGGCUCACUAGGGACAUGUUGUGUUCUAUGUAUUCACACAUGUAUUAUGAUUUCCGAAUAACACAAUUAUAGUAUGAACAAUAGACAAUUAUCAUGAACAAGGAAAUAUAAUAAUAACCAUUUUAUUAUUGCCUCUAGGGCAUAUCUCCAACACCUUUAGCUCCUCGUUGGGUUUGACACUCUUACUUAUCGAAAACUGUUGCGAUCCCCUAUACUUGUGGGUUAUCACCUACCACCCUUGCUGGUGGACCUGAUGUAGAGCUAACCUUUGUUCUAUUGGCUUGGUGAUACAUGAGUUAAGAGAUAAAAUGGUUUGAAUCUAUGAAAAUAGGGAGAACUCCCAGGUUGCGACAAGUGGUGCCCAUGGUGCACACCACUUGUCACAAUCUGGCAAGUUGGGAGUGUAUUUUUGGAAAGAGUGAUCCUUAAUUAGUGAUUUCGGUUUUCUUAUCUGCUUGUGUCACUGGCUGCCGCAUUGUAUAUCGUAUUGUUCAGAGACAAGCGUCCUCUUAUAGCUUUUCCCACCUGCAGCAUUGUAUAUCGCACUAGAGGCUGGGAGGCCACCUGGUGGCGCCACCUAGGCGGGCCUGUGCGCACUUAGGGCAUGUAUAGUGGUUGGUAAGAUUACCAUAUUUUAAGUCUUGCAUGUAAUUUGAAGAUGACAAUAAACCAUGUAUACAAUGAGUUAUCUCUUAGGCUUAUCUUUGAUAACUAGCUAUUCCUAAAAAUAUGGUGAGAUAUAUUGUACUAAGAGGUCAUCUCUUAAAUAAGAGAAGACAAGUCUCUUCUUAUAAUUUCUAUCCCCUCCACCUUAACAUUUAUCCUACGUGGUGAUACGUCUCCAACGUAUCUAUAAUUUUUGAUUGCUCCAUGCUAUAUUAUCUACUGUUUUGGACUAUAUUGGGCUUUAUUUUCCACUUUUAUAUUAUUUUUGGGACUAACCUAUUAACCGGAGGCCCAACCCAGAAUUGCUGUUUUUUGCCUAUUUCAGUGUUUUGGAGAAACAGAAUAUCAAACGGAGUCCAAACGGAAUAAAAUCUUCAGAAACGUGAUUUUUUUCAUCAGAUAAGAUCCAGGAGACUUGGACCCUCUGUCAAGAAAGCCACGAGGUGGUCACGAGGGUGGAGGGCCCCCCCCCUAGGGCAUGCCCCCUGCCUCGUGGGCCCCUCGAAGCUCCACCGACGUACUUCUUCCUCCUAUAUAUACCUACGUACCCCCAAACGAUUGGGGACGGAGCCAAAAACCUAAUUCCAUCACCGCAACUUUCUGUAUCCACGAGAUCCCAUCUUGGGGCCUGUUCCGGAGCUCUGCCGGAAGGGGAAUCGAUCACGGAGGGCUUCUACAUCGUCAUCCAAGCCCCUCCGAUGAAGUGUGAGUAGUUUACUUCAGACCUACGGGUCCAUAGUUAGUAGCUAGAUGGCUUCUUCUCUCUUUUUGGAUCUCAAUACAAUGUUCUCCCCCUCUCUUGUGGAGAUCUAUUUGAUGUAAUCUUCUUUUUGCAGUGUGUUUGUUGAGACCGAUGAAUUGUGGGUUUAUGAUCCAGUUUAUCUAUGAAUAAUAUUUGAAUCUUCUCUGAAUUCUCUUAUGUAUGAUUGGUUAUAUUUGCAAGUCUCUUCGAAUUAUCAGUUUGGUUUGGCCUACUAGAUUGGUUGUUCUUUCCAUGGGAGAAGUGCUUAGCUUUGGGUUCGAUCUUGCGGUGUCCUUUCCCAGUGACAGAAGGGGCAGCAAGGCACGUAUUGUAUUGUUUCCAUCGAGGAUAACAAGAUGGGGUUUUUAUCAUAUUGCAUGAAACUAUCCCUCUACAUCAUGUCAUCUUGCUUAAGGCCUUACUCUGUUUUUAACUUAAUACUCUAGAUGCAUGCUGGAUAGCGGUCGAUGAGUGGAGUAAUAGUAGUAGAUGCAGGCAGGAGUCGGUCUACUUGUCUCGGACGUGAUGCCUAUAUACAUGAUCAUACCUAGAUAUUCUCAUAACUAUGCUCAAUUCUGUCAAUUGCUCAACAGUAAUUUGUUCACCCACCGUAGAAUACUUAUGCUCUUGAGAGAAGCCACUAGUGAAACCUAUGGCCCCCGCGUCUCUUUCUCAUCAUAUCAAUCUCCAUCACUUUAUUAUUGCUUUGCUUUUACUUUGCCUUUUACUUUUCACUUUGCAUCUCUAUACCAAAAAUACCAAAAAUAUUAUUUAUCAUCUCUAUCAGAUCUCACUUUCAUAAGUGACCGUGAAGGGAUUGACAAACCCUAAGCGCGUUGGUUGCGUUGAGCUAUUGUUUUUGUGUAGGCACAAGGGACUCGAGCGUAACCUCCUACUGGAUUGAUACCUUAGUUCUCAAAAACUGAGGGAAAUACUUACCCUACUUUGCUGCAUCAUCCUCUCCUCUUCGGGGAAAUCCAACGCAGUGCUCAAGAGGUAGCAAGAAGAAUUUCUGGCGCCGUUGCCGGGGAGUCUGCGCAAAAGUCAACAUACCAAGUACCCAUCACAAUCCCUAUCUCCCGCAUUACAUUAUUUGCCAUUUGCCUCUCGUUUUCCUCUCCCCCACUUCACCCUUGCCGUUUUAUUCGCCCUCUCUCUCUAUCCUCCCUCUCUAUUUGCCCGUUUGCUUUUUGUUUGUUUGUGUGUUAGUUUGCUAGCUUGUCGUUAUGCCAAGUCCUUUACCUUCUGCCUCUAUGUCUGAAAUUGGGGAAAUUAUUGUUGAUAUGGACAAUAAUAAUAUCAUGAAAAAUUCUGAUGCUCCUGAUAAAGAACCUACCAUAUUUCAUACAAAAAAAUUCUGUGUUGGUAGUGGUAAUAUUAUUGGAAAAAGAGUUAUUCAAGAUUUAUUUACUUGUGUCGGUGCUUUACCUUAUAUGGGUAGUUCUAUCCUUCACAGAACUAGUAGUCUUGCAGACGCUAUUGCCAUGCUUGUAGUUUAACUUGAAAGACAAUUCAUGCACAUGCAUCCUUCCAUACAAAGGAUUUUUCUGGAAUUUUCUAAUAUUGAGCAUUCUUCUGUUAAGCGUGCCGCUACUAUCUUUUUGGCUCAUGAGUUUAGAUUCAUCAUAAAAGAAGCCAAAGAAAUAUUUGCGCAUUAUAGGGUGGACGCUUGUCGUCCUCCCAUAGAGGCUAUCCUCUUUGAUCAAGAAGAAAUAAUGCGUUUUCAAUCUCUAGACUAUGUUGCUUUCAGUAAAAAUCUUAGAAAAAGGGUUCCUACCAAUGUUUUAAUUGAUAGAAUUUCUGGACUUAAUGACGAUUUGGCUAUUCGAAAUAAUGAACUAGGAUAUUCUCUUGAAUAUAGGCUCACAAAGUUCUGUCAAAAGAAUGCUUAUAAUGAUGAAUUGGUUGUGCAUUAUGAAGGACCAAAGGAGGAACCUAUACCUCCCAAGGUUGAUCUUGGGGACUUUUGUCCUGUUAAAUUUAGCCCUUUUGAUUACUUUUGCUUGCCUCAAAGAAAACUUGCUGCCGAACAUAGAGAAUAUUAAAUGAGUUUUAAUAAUCUAUCUUACUAUUAUGGCAAUACCUAGAUCUAUUCUUGCUUGGUAUGCCUAGCUAGGGGCGUUAAACGAUAGCGCUUGUUGGGAGGCAACCCAAUUUUAUUUUUAUUCCUUGCUUUUUUCUCUUGUUUAGUAAUAAAUAAUUUAUCUAGCCUCUGUUUUGGCUGUGUUUUUUUGUGUUUAAUUAGUGUUUGUGCCUAGUAGAACCGUUGGGAAGACUUGGGGAAAGUCUUGUUGAACUUGCUGUAAAAAACAAAAACUUUAGCGCUCACAAGAACUGCUGUCAUUUUUAUUUGGAAAGUGCUAUUUAGUUAAUUCUUUUUGAAGAUGUUUAAUAUAUAAAUUCCUCACGUCCAUAUAUUUAUUUUAGAAUAUUUGGGGUUCCAGAUGUUGCGCUAGCUACAGAUUACUACAGACUGUUCUGUUUUUGACAGAUUCUGUUUUUCGUGUGUUGUUUGCUUAUUUUGAUGAAUCUAUGGCUAGUAAAUUAGUUUAUAAACCAUGGAGAAGUUGUAAUACAGUAAGUAUAACACCCAUAUAAAUAAAUAAUGAGUUCAUUACAGUACCUUGAAGUGAUCUUUUAUUCUCUUUCGCUAACGGAGCUCACGAGAUUUUCUACUUUAAGUUUUGUGUUGUGAAGUUUUCAAGUUUUGGGUAAAGAUUUGAUGGAUUAUGGAACAAGGAGUGGCAAGAGCCUAAGCUUGGGGAUUCCCAUGGCACCCCCAAGAUAAUCUAAGGACACCUAAAAUCCAAAACUUGGGGAUGCCCCGGAAGGCAUCCCCUCUUUCGUCUACUUCUAUCGGUAAAUUUAGUUGGAGCUAUAUUUUUAUUCACCACAUGAUAUGUGUUUUGCUUGGAGAGUCUUUUAUGAUUUGAGUCUUUGCUUGUUAGUCUACCACAAUCAUACUUGCUGUACACACCUUUUGAGAGAGCCAUACAUGAUUUGGAAUUUGUUAGAAUACUCUAUGUGCUUCACUCAUAUCUUUUAAGCUUUAUAGUUUUGCUCUAGUGCUUCACUUAUAUCUUUUAGAGCAUGGUGGUGGAUUUGUUUUAUAGAAACUAUUGAUCUCUCAUGCUUCACUUAGAUUAUUUUGAGAGUCUUAAUAGCAUCGUAAUUUGCUUAAAAUCCUAAUAUGCUUGGUAUGCAAGAUUAAUAAUAAAACUUUCUUAUGAGUGUGUUGAAUACUAAGAAAAGUUUGAUGCUUGAUGAUUGUUUUGAGAUAUGGAGGUAAUAAUAUCAAAGUCAUGCUAGUUGAGUAGUUGUGAAAUUGAGAAAUACUUGUGUUGAAGUUUGAAAGUCCCAUAGUAUGCACGUAUGGUAAACAUUAUGCAACAAAUUUGAAACAUGAGGUGUUAUUUGAUUGUCUUCCUUAUGAGUGGCGGUCGGGGACGAGCGAUGGUCUUUUCCUACCAAUCUAUCCCCCUAGGAGCAUGCGCGUAGUGCCGAGGUUUUUGAUGACUUGUAGAUUUUGCAAUAAGUAUGUGAGUUCUUUAUGACUAAUGUUGAGUCCAUGUAUUAUACGCACUCUCACCCUUCCAUCCUUGCUAGCCUCUUCGGUACCGUGCAUUGCCCUUUCUCACAUUGAGAGUUGGCGCAAACUUCGCCGGUGCAUCCAAACCCCGUGAUAUGAUACGCUCUUUCACACAUAAACCUCCUUAUAUCUUCCUCAGAACAGCCACCAUACCUACCUAUUAUGGCAUUUCCAUAGCCAUUCCGAGAUAUAUUGCCAUGCAACUUUCCAUCAUUCCGUUCAUCGUGACACAUUCAUCAUUGUCAUAUUGCUUAGCAUGAUCAUGUAGUUGACAUAGUAUUUGUAGCAAAGCCACGAUUCAUAAUUCUUUCAUACAUGUCACUCUUGAUUCAUUGCAUAUCUCGGUACACCGCCGGAGGCAUUCAUAUAGAGUCAUCUUUGUUCUAGUAUCGAGUUGUAAUCAUCGAGUUGUAAAUAAAUACAAGUGUGAUGAUCAUCAUUAUUAGAGCAUUGUCCCAAGUGAGGAAUAAAAAAGAAAGGCCAUAAAAAAGAGAAGGCCCAAAAAAAGGCCAUAAAAGGCCCAAAAAAUGAGAGAAAAAGAGAGAAGGGACAAUGUCACUAUCCUUUUACCAUACUUGUGCUUCAAAGUAGCACCAUGAUCUUCAUAGUAGAGAGUCUCUCAUGUUAUCACUUUCAUAUACUAGUGGGAAUUUUUCAUUAUAGAACAUGGCUUGUAUAUUCCAACAAUGGGCCUCCUCAAGUGCCCUAGGUCUUCGUGAGCAAGCAAGUUGGAUGCACACCCACUAGUUUCUUUUGUUGAGCUUUCAUAUAUUUAUAGCUCUAGUGCAUCCGUUGCAUGGCAAUCCCUACUCCUUGCAUUAACAUCAAUCGGUGGGCAUCUCCAUAGCCCAUUGAUUAGCCUCAUUGAUGUGAGACUUUCUCCUUUUUUGUCUUCUCCGCAUAACCCCCUUCAUUAUAUUCUAUUCCACCCAUAGUGCUAUGUCCAUGGCUCGUGCUCAUAUAUUGCGUGAAAGUUUAUAGGUUUGAGAUUAUUAAAGUAUGAAACAAUUGAUUGGCUUGUCAUCGGGGUUGUGAAUGAUGAGAGCAUUCUUGUGUGACGAAAAUGAAACAUGACUAAACUAUAUGAUUUUGUAGGGAUGAACUUUCUUUGGCCAUGUUAUUUUGAGAAGACAUAAUUGCUUAGUUAGUAUGCUUGAAGUAUUAUCAUUUUUAUGUCAAUAUGAACUAUUGUCUUGAAUCUUUCAGAUCUGAAUAUUCAUACCACAAUUAAGAAGAAUUACAUUAAAAUUAUGCCAAGUAGCACUCCGCGUCAAAAAUUCUCUUUUUAUCAUUUACCUACUCGAGGACGAGCAGGAAUUAAGCUUGGGGAUGCUUGAUACGUCUCCAACGUAUCUAUAAUUUUUGAUUGCUCCAUGCUAUAUUAUCUACUGUUUUGGACUAUAUUGGGCUUUAUUUUCCACUUUUAUGUUAUUUUUGGGACUAACCUAUUAACCGGAGGCCCAGCCCAGAAUUGCUGUUUUUUGCCUAUUUCAGUGUUUCGGAGAAACAGAAUAUCAAACGGAGUCCAAACGGAAUAAAAUCUUCGGAAACGUGAUUUUCUCAUCAGAUAAGAUCCAGGAGACUUGGACCCUCCGUCAAGAAAGCCACGAGGUGGUCACGAGGGUGGAGGGCGCCCCCCCAGGGUGCGCCCCCUGCCUCGUGGGCCCCUCGAAGCUCCACCGACGUACUUCUUCCUCCUAUAUAUACCUACGUACCCCCAAACAAUCGGGGACGGAGCCAAAAACCUAAUUCCACCGACGCAACUUUCUGUAUCCACGAGAUCCCAUCUUGGGGCCUGUUCCGGAGCUCCACCGGAAGGGGAAUCGAUCAUGGAGGGCUUCUACAUCAUCAUCCAAGCCCCUUCGAUGAAUUGUAAGUAGUUUACUUCAGACCUACGGGUCCAUAGUUAGUAGCUAGAUGGCUUCUUCUCUCUUUUUGGAUCUCAAUACAAUGUUCUCCCCCUCUCUUGUGGAGAUCUAUUCGAUGUAAUCUUCUUUUUGCAGUGUGUUUGUUGAGACCGAUGAAUUGUGGGUUUAUGAUCCAGUUUAUCUAUGAAUAAUAUUUGAAUUUUCUCUGAAUUCUUUUAUGUAUGAUUGGUUAUCUUUGCAAGUCUCUUCGAAUUAUCAGUGUGGUUUGGCCUACUAGAUUGGUUGUUCUUUCCAUGGGAGAAGUGCUUAGCUUUGGGUUCGAUCUUGCGGUGUCCUUUCCCAGUGACAGAAGGGGCAGCAAGGCACGUAUUGUAUUGUUUCCAUCGAGGAUAACAAGAUGGGGUUUUUAUCAUAUUGCAUGAAACUAUCCCUCUACAUCAUGUCAUCUUGCUUAAGGCCUUACUCUGUUUUUAACUUAAUACUCUAGAUGCAUGCUGGAUAGCGGUCGAUGAGUGGAGUAAUAGUAGUAGAUGCAGGCAGGAGUCGGUCUACUUGUCUCGGACGUGAUGCCUAUAUACAUGAUCAUACCUAGAUAUUCUCAUAACUAUGCUCAAUUCUGUCAAUUGCUCAACAGUAAUUUGUUCGCCCACCGUAGAAUACUUAUGCUCUUGAGAGAAGCCACUAGUGAAACCUAUGGCCCCCGCGUAUCUUUCUCAUCAUAUCAAUCUCCAUCACUUUAUUAUUGCUUUGCUUUUACUUUGCCUUUUACUUUUCACUUUGCAUCUCUAUACCAAAAAUACCAAAAAUAUUAUUUAUCAUCUCUAUCAGAUCUCACUUUUGUAAGUGACCGUGAAGGGAUUGACAACCCCUAAGCGCGUUGGUUGCGUUGAGCUAUUGUUUUUGUGUAGGUACAAGGGACUCGAGCGUAGCCUCCUACUGGAUUGAUACCUUGGUUCUCAAAAACUGAGGGAAAUACUUACGCUACUUUGCUGCAUCAUCCUCUCCUCUUCGGGGAAAUCCAACGCAGUGCUCAAGAGGUAGCACGUGGCAUUUCUAAUAUAUCACCAUUUUACAUGCCCUUAUCUUGCCUCGCUACAUUGGGCUGCCAUGUUUGGUCCUUAGUAUUACUCAUGUAUAUCAAUAUGGAGGUAUGCUUAACAUUAGGAUCUAUUAGUAGCACAUCGAUCAAACAUACAUGUAGUUGUUAACGUGUUGACAGUGCAGAUAAGAGACGACGGUUUUGAACCUAGCACCACCUCAUAUUAUAGAAAUAUACACACCACGCAACCAAAAUGACCAUCACAUAAUUUAACAAACAUUGGACCUGUAAUAAUAUUACAUCUAAAUAUCUUCUAGAUCACCCUCCACAUUCAUCUUGUCCAUGAUCACCCAACAAGUCAUCACCUCCCACAAUGUUGUUAAAUCUCAUUGUUUAGCAGGUCCACAAACAACUGCACAACGGGCUUGAAGCAUGCCAAAUGCCCACUCCACGUCGUUUCUAGCAUCUUAUUGUAUUGCAACAAAUUGAAAAUUUUUGUUACCUAUUGGAUCAAAGAGGGUGUUGACAAAGGUCGCCCACGGAGGACAGAUACCGUCACAAAGAUAGUACCCCAUAUUGUACUCAUGCACAUUGAUGGUAUAGUUGCAUGCAGGAGCUUCCCUCGCACACAACCUUGCAAACAAUGGAGACCAUUGCAGCAUGUUGAUGUCAUUGUGAGAUCCUGGCAUGCCGAACAAAGAGUGCAAAAUCUGGAGGUCUUGUGAUGCAACCGCUUCAAGAAUGAUGGUGGGAUUUUUGUGAUGGCCCUGGUAUUGCCCUUGUUGAGCAUACGAACAGUUCUUCAAUUUUUAGUGCAUGCAAUCCAACGAUCCGAGCAUAAAUGGAAACUCUCUUGAUUCUCCAAGUGACAUUAGUAUUUUUGUGUCUUUGACAUUUGAUUCUCUCAAGUACUUCGGUCCAAACAUGUUGUCCACUGCAGUAGCAAAUCCAACCUUGCCCUCUAGGCAUGUGCUCUCAAACAUCCAAAGGUACUCAUCCAUUGGUUUGCGUUUGUGCCAUACACAAGCAUCAUCAUAGUAGACGUGCAUGUCUAGAGAUCAGAGAACCCAAUGUGGUCAAUGGCAUCCUUCUUGACCUUUAAGGAGUCAUCAUAGACCCUGAUACCUUGCAUGAUGCGCAAGAACAAUGGUCACUCCAUCCGAAAUAGACGCUAGAAAUAGAGUUUAAAUAGCACAUCGAGGACCAAGUAAUCACUUUAGAAAUCAACAUGCCGCCGUGCUCGACGCAAAUUCAACACUCAAUGUCUCUUGUUGAACCUUAAAGUUGAGAACAUGCUCGUUCACACGCUCUGUUUCUUCAAGAGUCGAUAACACCACCGUUGUUUCAUCCUCAUCUUCCUCAUCCGACGAAGACAAAUCCAUGAACUCGGCGUACAAGUACUCAUCGUCUAAAUCAAUUUUCUUUAUUCAAUAUAAAUAAUGACAACGUUAAGAACUUGAUAUGGCAUUUGACCGAGCAAUUGAUGGGCGCGGUGUCCACCAUGGACGACAUCGGCAGGUGCGGAGGGUACCUGGGCGGCGGCUGAAUCCAGGGGAGUACGACGGCAGAAUUUGCCUAGGCGAGUAGGCGCAUGGGUGGAACGGCAGAGAUCCGACGGUUCCUUGGCGGCAUCCGGGGGGAUGGGGCGGCAUUUAUCUCCGGGAGCAGAGGAGUAGGGCGAUUGUGAAAAAAAAAGCAGGCUUGGGGUGGGGUUUUAGGUGGGUACAAGGAGUUGAAGUCCGACGUGGUAGACGUCCGGACUCCCCAUAGCCCUCUUUUGGGGUCGGUCUAUGGAAUUUCAAACGUUUGGACUAGUCUAGCCAGAUUUGGUGAUCCGCGUGGAUGGCCAAAAUUGUUCGGACGACCUAGUCCAGAAAUUUAGGGGCGUUUUGGUGAUCCGCAUUGAAGAUGCCUGUCAUAGACCAGUUCUCUAAAAUUGACUUUCUGCUUUUUUCUAGUUUUUCUCUGAAAAUUCUUUAUUUGGAUUUUCCUCUAUGGGUUUAUUGAGAAAUUGCUUUCUCUUUUUUCCUUUGCUCAAAUGAGUUGGAGUUAUACUAGUAAAAUCUUCUCCUGCCUAUUAUCCUUCAGAUAUGUUCUUCCCAGGUCCAAUCUUCUUGAGCAAGUAUUCAAACUUGCAUGUUUCAAUUUUUUUUUUGAAAAAAUACACAUAUAGUUAGAGACAAAAUGCAUAGCAUGUAAAUUUUCAGGAGGAAAUACCUUGAAAUGAGUGCUACGCAAAGAAAAACAAAUCCGAUGCUUUUAAGUAUAUGCACGAGUCAUCCUCAAAGUCCAUGAUUUUUUUUCACAGAUCAUAUUUCAAGGUAUUUCAUUCUGAAAUUGUACACACAUACACACGACGUCCUUGUUUACUUGUACAUUUUUUCAGAAAAAAUUUGAAACUGAAAAGUUUCAAUUUUGUUUUUAUUUUAAAAAUUCAGCCUUCAUGGAGACCGAGCUCCAAAACGCUCCACUCAUGCUAACGGCACAAUAUUUCAAGUGUGUCUGUAUAAAGUUCCCUAAAAAUGUUUUGUUUGCAUAAACGGUUGGAUCACUUGCUCUCAAUUUUCAAAAUGUGCCAUCCGUAUCAUUUGCACAACCACGUUGGGAAACCGGAAGGCUCUGGUUCCUCGUGACGCGGUGACGAAGUGAGAAGGCAUCCACUCACUUUUUCCAUAUCGGCAUCCCUUUGUGACGAUGCUGUUGAGUGUUGACUAUCAUACUCGGGUGGCAACCUGUGUGCCAAUCAGCUUUGGCCACGCCCAUAAACCAAAAAUGAACUUGAUCGGUUCUGGUUUGAGUCGGCUCGGUUAUGGUUCGGGCUUCAGACACGGCCAGGUUCGCUGUCGCUGUCUCACAAGUAAUACUUCCCCGCAGAAAGAAAACAAGAGCAUGAAAUGUGUAUAAUAAUCUACAAGGCUACAUGUACAGCUGCGGACCUCCCUUCUUAUUAGAUUAUAUUUCUUUGACGAGAAAAAGAAACUAUUUUCCUACUCCUAUUCAUGUUCCUGUUCUUGAGGUGUGCAUAUACUUGUUUCAUCUUGGUGAUAUUUGUGCAAAACGACCAAGAAGUAGCAAUUCUGAAAGGAAAAUCUAAGAGGGAACAAGGUCAUUCAUCUAGUACUACUACACUAAUAAUGAGCUUCAGUAGUAGUAAUAAAGUGUCACGGAGUAUAAAUCACUAAAACACAUGGUAAAUUAGUACACAGCCAAGUAUUAAGUUGAUUAGAGUCAGUUUUGGUCACUUCUUGGCACGGGUAUUGUUUACUAGAGCAGUUAACGAUGCCAUAUGCUCUGAACUUCUGAAGCUUUGUUUAAGCAGUAAAGCAUGAUCCACUCAAGCCUCUACAACAUGGCGCGUGCUUACCGAAGGGCUGAAAACCAAAUGCGCGCGGUUCGGUUCUGGUUCGGUUCGGCUCUGGGUUCUUGAGGCUGUAGAAGUCACGCUCCACUUUGCGCGUCUAAAGUCCGGUGCCUUGUAUAAAUACUUCCCCAUCUCCGAGCUCGAAACCUCAAACACAAACCCAUUUCCCCAGCAAACACCACCACCCAAGAGACGAACAAUGGGGUUCCUGGCCGCCUUCUCGAACCUGCUCGCCCUGAUUUCCGCCGCAUGUAGCAACGCGGGGAAGCUGCCGGCUGCUCUCAUCUCCUGCGGCGGCGUCGAUGCAGCUGCGGCGCUCUGCCUCGUCAUAUCCAAGGCGCCCGGAGGUAUAUUUCUCCACCACGGCAAAGCACCCUUCUUCUUGUACUACGGCAUCCUCGUCGCCGUGUUCGUCUUCGGGCUGGUCUAGGCGUCGGUCGGCUUCUGGGUGUCGGGCGAUGUGGUCGGACGACGUGCCGCCGGGAAGACCAUCCUCUGGUUGGGACUCCUGCCCAUUGUCUUCGUGGCUGCGCUUGGAGGCUUUGUCAUUCUGAGCACGAAAUAGUUCAUCAUCCUGCGCCAGUUCUGUGUCUGCAUGCCUGUACGUGCGUGUGUCAGUUAGUGAGCUUGAUGUACCAUUUGCUUCAACCUGUUAUCCGUUCUAGUAUAUGUUUGUGGUAAUGGGGCUUUUUGUCCGAAACGGAGAGUCUCAGGUUCUGUUAGGAUAUGGUAACAGAGUUUCAGGUUCUGCCCUGCUUUCUGAUCGAUGUGAGAUGGUCAUUGAUCUGGUCUCUGCCUUGUUACGAACAGAAAUUCAUCUAUUGCAUUUUGGCACAUAGUUGUUCUGUUCCCCUCUCAGAAAUCAGAGGACUUUCUUCAGUACCGUCCGGGCAAUUCAUACGCCCGAAUCGCCCCCUGCAGCUGCGGGCGGACGACGGGCCGCCGGGAAGACGAUGCUGUGGCUGGGCCUGCUCCUGCCCGUCGUCUUGGUGGCUGCGCAGUUUCAUUUCCUUCCCCUUGCGUUAUGCACCGGUCUGUUUGUGCCUUUGUGGAUCGAUGGACAACGGAGAAUGGAUGUUCUGUUGUGCCUUCGAUACAUGUGAAAUUGCUAGUAAUGUGGUCUCCCCUGUUUUUUUAGAAUGAUCUCUUUUUUCAUGUAUAUGAACGAAAGUACACCAGUUGUAGCGGAAAAAGACAGGGGAACAAAGUUCAUCUGGAUACGUACGAACCGUUUUCCCCUAACCUAGCCGCUGCCAGAUGAAGGCGACUAGGGAGGCGAUCCUCUACCUCCGAUCUACACUGGCCAUGGCUGGUCCCCUCUCCCUCCGAGUGCCGCUUCGGCGGCAGGAGGGAGGGGGGGUCCCGUUUUCUCCGCUCUGUAGUUAGGGUUUGGUUUUGUAGGUCGUGGUGAGCCGUUGGAGUGGUGGGAGCGGCCCCCGGACGAAUGAAUCUACCUCAGCUCCACUCCCACACCGGUGGUGUCCAUCAUGGUGGCAUCUCAGAGUUGAUGGCAUCGUGCGUUUAUCGAUCUUUCAGUUUGGCGGCGUUAGUAUUCAUGGAUGGUGUCAGCAAGGAGGCGGCGGCGACCCCUUCAGGUGUGUCUCGUCUUCUGCUUUGUCCCUGUUGUUGUGGCGUUGUCUCCAACGUCACGGUGGAGCAGGCGUAGAAUUAUGGAUUGAUUCUCUCUGUGUAUUACAACAUGUUAUAUAUGAAAAACGACGAAAAUAUGAUGAAUCUGAAUACGCUAUCCACAUACUCCACAUACUUGUUACAUGCCUCUAACACUGCGAACUUGAAACCGUUCCCUCCAGAUCAUCUGUCGGAUAGAUGCGUGGAGCCGGGAAAAUAUUCUCGGAUUUUUCCCGCACCGUCUGUAACGUGUAGCCCUGCGUUAGGUCACCCUUAGCAUAGCUUACGGUCAUGCCAUGCUUUCUAUUGCUUUGUAUGUCUGUUAUUUAUUGUUUCUUCCCCAUCCUUCCUCUUCGGUAGACCCCGAGACCGUUGAUGCUUCGGUGUUCGACUGCGGCUACGCUUUCAAAGAUUCCUGGCGUCUGCAGAGCUUCCAGGCAAGCAAAACCUACUUGAUUAUUUCGAUAUCGCCCAUUCCAUUAUCUCUCAUGCUUGCAUUAGAUUUUGCUACUGUAAUUGUUUGCUCCUAUUCUGAUGCAUAGCCUGUUUUUGUAACCUGAUUUUGUACCUUACCUGCUUAUCCUAUAUGCCUAGUAUAGGUUGGUUAGUGAUCCAUGAGUGACCCCUCACCUUGUCUCUGUUGCCCCCGCUUUAUGACAGAUCGCUCGAUUAACGUGAUCGGNNNNNNNNNNNNNNNNNNNNNNNNNNNNNNNNNNNNNNNNNNNNNNNNNNNNNNNNNNNNNNNNNNNNNNNNNNNNNNNNNNNNNNNNNNNNNNNNNNNNNNNNNNNNNNNNNNNNNNNNNNNNNNNNNNNNNNNNNNNNNNNNNNNNNNNNNNNNNNNNNNNNNNNNNNNNNNNNNNNNNNNNNNNNNNNNNNNNNNNNNNNNNNNNNNNNNNNNNNNNNNNNNNNNNNNNNNNNNNNNNNNNNNNNNNNNNNNNNNNNNNNNNNNNNNNNNNNNNNNNNNNNNNNNNNNNNNNNNNNNNNNNNNNNNNNNNNNNNNNNNNNNNNNNNNNNNUGUACGACUCUGCAGAGCUACUAUCGAGUGCCGAGGGUGAUACCUGAUACGUCUCCAACGUAUCUAUAAUUUUUUAUUGUUCCAUGCUACUAUAUAUUCUGUUUUGGAUGUUUAAUGGGCUUAUUUAUACACUUUUAUAUUAUUUUUGGGACUAACCUAUUAACCGGAGACCCAGCCCAAAUUGCUGUUUUUUGUCUAUUUCAGUGUUUCGCAGAAAAAAAAUAUCAAACGGAGUCCAAACGGAAUGAAACCUUCGGGAACGUGAUUUUCGGAACAAACGUGAUCUAGAGGACUUGGAGUCUACGUCAAGAAAUCAACGAGGAGAGCACGAGGCAGGGGGCGCGCCUACCCCCCCAGGCGCGCCCUCCACCCUCGCGGGGCCCACGUUGCUCCACCGACGUACUUCUUCCUCCUAUAUAUACCUACGUACCCCCAAACCAUCAGAGGCAUCCACGAAAACCUAAUUCCACCGCCGCAACCUUCUGUACCCGUGAGAUCCCAUCUUGGGGCCUUUUCCGGCGUCCUGCCGGAGGGAGCAUUGAUCACGAAGGGCUUCUACAUCAACACCAUAGCCUCUCCGAUGAUGUGUGAGUAGUUUACCUCAGACCUUCGGGUCCAUAGUUAUUAGCUAUAUGGUUUCUUCUCUCUCUUUGGAUCUUAAUACAAAGUUCUCCACGACUCUCGUGGAGAUCUAUUCGAUGUAAUCUUCUUUUGCGGUAUGUUUGUCGGGGCCGAUGAAUUGUGGGUUUAUGAUCAAGAUUAUCUAUAAACAGUAUUUGAAUCUUCUCUGAAUUCUUUUAUGUAUGAUUGGUUAUCUUUGCAAGUCUCCUCAAAUUAUCAGUUUGGUUUGGCCUACUAGAUUGAUCUUUCUUGCAAUGGGAGAAGUGCUUAGCUUUGGGUUCAAUCUUGCGGUGUCCUUUCCAGGUGACAGCAGGGGCAGCAAGGCACGUAUCGUAUUGUUACCAUCGAGGAUAACAAGAUGGGGUUUAUAUCAUAUUGCAUGAGUUUAUCACUCUACAUCAUGUCAUCAUACUUAAAGCAUUAUCUAUUCUUAUGAACUUAAUACUCUAGAUGCAUGUUCGAUAGCGGUUGAUGUGUGGAGUAAUAGUAGUAGAUGCAGGCAGGAGUCGGUCUACUUGUCACGGACGUGAUGCCUAUAUACAUGAUCUUACCUAGAUAUUCUCAUAACUAUGCUCAAUUCUAUCAAUUGCUCGACAGUAAUUUGCUCACCCACCGUAAUACUUAUACUCUUGAGAGAAGCCACUAGUGAAACCUAUGGCCCCUGGGUCUAUUCUCCAUCAUAUUAAUCUUCCAACAUUUAGCUAUUUCUAUUGCCUUUUAUUUUACUUUGCAUCUUUAUUUCUCCUUAUCAUAAAAAUACCAAAAAUAUUAUCUUAUCAUAUCUAUCAGAUCUCACUCUCGUAAGUGACCGUGAAGGGAUUGACAACCCCUUUAUCGCGUUGGUUGCGAGGUUCUUAUUUGUUUUGUGUAGGUGCGAGGAACUCGAGCGUAGCCUCCUACUGGACUGAUACCUUGGUUCUCAAAAACUGAGGGAAAUACUUACGCUACUUUACUGCAUCACCCUUUCCUCUUCGAGGGAAAAACCAACGCAGUGCUCAAGAGGUAGCAAUACCUCGUAUAGCACUUAUGAUGUUAACUCUGUAGUGUAGCUAAUUGUUCGUGGUCUUCGAGGGUGAUUCCUCCUUUACCACUCUCGAUAAUGACUAUGUCGUGCAACCCCUCAAGUGUGAACCAUUGAGGAUGAUUCCUCCUUAGUUCACCUUGACGAUUACAUCAGAUGGAUUCCGUCAAGGGUGAUUCCUCGAAUUCCCCCUUGGUGUUUUGGACACACGGUUACUUUGACUUUACCACGGAACCAUGUUGAAUUCGGGUCGGCCCUGAGGGGUACCCGCGAGUUGAUGUGUAGUUGGGUUGACCUGGAGGGUACCCGCGAGAUUUCUGUGUGGCACGGUCGGGCAUUCUGGGCCCUUCCCGUAAGUCCAUGAGAUGGGGCGAUGGGGUCACAUGAUCGUGAGUCUCUUCUCGUUACCACGCGCUCCCAAGACACUAACGGUUUGAGUAUUUGAUCUGAGUUGGCCAUUGGCCUAUACGCACUAACCAUCACGCGGGAAUAGAUAUGGUCACUCGACAUCGUAUGUAUCAGCCGAAGCUCUCCAGAUGUCAGCGACUGAGCGCCGCGUGCCGGGUUGGACUAGAACGCCUGUGCUUGUAUAAGGGUGCUAGGUCUGCUCACUGACCGUGUACGCAACAUGCAGGAGUGCAAAGGGCGAUGGGCCCAAGACCCCUGCGCGCUUAGGAUGUAGACCGGCAUGCUGACCUCUUUGUUGAGCCUAGGUAGGGCUACGACGUGUUGAUCUUCUGAGGCCGGGCAUGAUCUAGGAAAGUGUGUCCGGCUAGAGUGAUCGAGCGUGUUGGGUAAUGUGGUGCACCCCUGCAGGAAAGUUAAUCUAUUCGAAUAGCCGUGUCCACGAUAAGAGGACGACUUGGAGUUGUAUCCCGAUCUUUACAAGUAGAACUGGAUACUGAGAUGUGGAUUGGAUAUGAUGGCUCCGGGAUUGCUUUCUCGUAGGAAGCCGAGAAAGGAUCUCUGGGUGUUAAUGCUACAACAUGCUUGAUAAUUAUAAAAUGCUAUUAUGUACUCUUCUAAAUGCUGGAAGAUGCUUGAAGAUGCUAGUCUUCGAUGGGCUAGGCUUUCCCCUUCUCUUUUGGCAUUCUGCAGUUCAGUCCACAGAUACAGUCCAUUCAUUUGAUAUCGAUGCAUACUUAGUUUAGAUCUGAUGUAAGUCUUGUGAGUACUUUGGAUGAGUACCCACGGUUGCUUUGCUACCCAUUUUUCCCUAUACCUGAUUGUUGCGUUCAGAUGGUGGAUCCCAAGAGCCAACUACCACCGCCAUCGACUACUACUACUCCGAGGGUGCCUACUGCUACGUGGAGGCCAUCGCUGACUAGGAGUAGUCAGGAGGCUCCCAGGCAGGAGGCCUUGCCUUUUCGAUCAUCAAUGAUGUUUGUGCUAGCCUUCUUAAGGCAAACUUGUUUAACUUAUGUCUAUACUCAAAUAUUGUUGCUUCUGCUGACUCGUUUGUAUUCGAGCUUAUGUAUUUGAGCCUUCGAGGCCCCUGGCUUGUAAUAUAAAUCUUGUAUUAUUUUAAUUUGUGUCUAGAGUUGUGUUGUGAUAUCUUCCCGUGAGUCCCUGAUCUUGAUCGUACACAUUUGCGUGUAUGAUUAGUGUAUCAUUGAAUCGGGGGCGUCACAGCUCCCCUCUAUAUUUUUUGUUUUUAAACUUUUUAAAAUCAAAUAAAAAAAUAAAAUGAUUCUCUAAAACUUCCGGGUUGUCUCCCCGGCAGCGCUUUUUUUUUAAAUCCAUUAAGCUAGGCAUAAAGUGAUCAAGUAUUUAAUCCACCCGGAUCCCAAGGUAUAUCAAAGCUAAUUUUAAUUAACAAUGGUUUGUAAUUUAGUAGUGAGCACAAAGCAACAUAUAUCACAUAACAACGGAGUCUAACUCUCUUCCUAUGCAUCGGCAUGUCAUAAAAGAACAAUUUGUGCACACAUAGUAAAGGCCGGUACAUUGCAUAAAUAGUUUCUUGCAAUUUUAUCGUGUUGGAAACACAGAGAGGUGGAGAUGUAGUUCCUCUCUCAAAAUUUGCAAGUAGGAGCAGCAAUCACAUGCAUAUUAUACUCAUAAAAAUCAUCAUGUACAAUAGUAAAACGCAACCCAUCAAUAUAAUCUUUAAUAAGAGCAAACUUCUCCGAUAUAGUGUAGUUUGGAGAAUUCAAAAUGAUAAUAGGACUAUCAUGUGUGUGUGCAAUAGCAACAAUUUCAUUCUUAACAUAAGGAACUAUAGCAAGUUCAUCUUUCUAAGCACAAUUCAUAUUGGCAUCAUGACCACAAAGCAUAUCAAGAAUCAAUUUCAUCAAAAAGGGAUAGUUCAAACGAAUAAGGGAUCAUAGAAAUUAUCAUAGCAUUCAUCCUUCGGUAAGCAGGAAGGGAAAUUAAACAAUGUAUGAGUGGAAGAGUUACUCUCAUUAGAAGGUGGGCAUGGGUAGCUAAUCUGCUCUUCCUCCUUUUGUUCUUCGCUCUCCUCGUCAUCUUUUUCAUCUAAUGAGCUCAUAAUUUCAGCAAUUUCUUCUUCCAUAGAUUCCUGCGAAAUAUUAGUCCUUUCUUGGACAGCGGUAACUUUCUCAAGAAACUCAUUAAUUAAUAUCGGCAUUGUAUUCAUAAUUCUCAUAGCAAUAUUUAAGUAUAGCAUAAUUUUCACAUCUGUAAACAGCAUCAUCACAAUCUUCAUACUCUUCAAACAAAAAUUCAAUUUCAUAAGCACCCUUAAACGCAACAAAUUCUUCUAUUUGUUCCACAUCGUAGUAAUUAUAUAUAUCAUUAGCAUAAGAAGCCAGUGUUUCAUUAUCAUUAAAUUCACAUUGAAAGAGGAGGUGUGUAGCCUUCAUCUUAGAGCAACAAGUACAAUCAUAUCUUAAGCAUAAAUUCCAAGCAUACCAAUGCAAUUAAUUUGAUCCCAUAAGUGUUUCCCUUUUUGAGACAAGUGAUAAUACCUAAAGUAUUCCUGGUGAUCCAAAGUAUCUCACAUUAUCAAGUUGAAUGGGAAUUUAUCAGGAUUAUCGAAGUAGUAUUUAAUGUUUUCCACAUAACCAGCAUCGAGUGUUUUUGGAGAUUCCCCCUCUCCAUGAGUAGCAAGUACAACUAAUAUUUUUGGUAUUUCGUGCUCCAUAUCCAUAACUAAAGAUAGAGAACAACUUAGAGCAGGAAAAAAAACUCCGCGGGAGCCGGAUCCACCUCCGCGGCGGCAUUGCCGCACACACCACAAACUCGCGGGCCGUGCCUUCGGCAUGGGCCUGCAGGCGGGGUGGCCGUGCAUCCACCGCUUGUUCUCUUCCACGACUCUAUUCCUCGCGGUACCCACAGCUGCUCCCACGGGCAGGGCUAUGCGCGCGAGCGCGCGCGCGAACCGGGAAGCCCAGCGGAGCGCGUUCGUACCAAGGUCGCGUUGCCGUGGGCGCCACGGUGGCAUCACGAGAGAAAUCACGCCUCUUCUUUGGCGGGAGCAGCUCAUGUGUUCCCUUUUUCGCAGUGGAGAACCUCCUCACUGGCGCCAUGGACGCUCUGGCAAAAUGGCGGGACGAAGAAGAAGGUGAAGCAAGAGGCGAGAGGAUGACGACGAGCUGGGGGCUCCGCCCCUUCUCCCAUUUAUAGCUGGAGGAAGGCUAAUCGUUGGCCUCUCAGUUCAAAGCAAUAAUGGCCUUCCUGCAUGCAGCAGGCAGUUGUCGCAUCUGGCGGUUACCGAGGUGGUGUGGGGAAGUGGAGACGCCCACGUCCCAUCAAGCGCCACGCGUCGUCUCGGUCCGCAGGCGAUUGGGGCCCACGAUGCUUCGCCCUUGCCCUUUGGCUUCGCCUCGAAGCCAAGUCCAAGCGCACCUUGGGCCCGGGGGCUACUGUCGGCAUUCUGGGAACCAGGGUACCCAGGCUUGCCUGCCUGCGGCCCAGGGCAUGGCUCCAUUGGCGGCCUGGUACGGCCCAUCUACGACACCAACAAGGCAAGACCCUCGCGAGGGGUCAAGCCUCGCAAGGUGGGCGAUGCCAAGACCUCCUGAGGGAGCGGCCUCCCCUAGGCUGCUCCCGAGGAGCGGAGAUUUCUGUGCAAGUGCCCAACCUCAUGAGGUUGGGGUGAUGCAAGCCAUGACGACCAAGGCCAGGCGGGCGCCAGUGGGCGCAAAAGUGCAAGUUUCCUCUUUGGUGCUAAGGAGGCAAGCGCAGGCACGGGGUCCCGAGGAAUCAGGCAAAUGUUUCCAUUUCCGUGCAACGAGACCAAGGCCGCUAGGGCGGCGGGAAGGAUGUCAUCGCCGAGCCCACUGCAGCGUCACAACCAAAAGCUUUGCAGACGAAGACCUCGUUGCGUCAGGAUAAGAUGUACUACUUGUCCCCCUUCAAAUUGGCCACUGUGGGAUCCCUUCCCACCUUGUUUUGAGGUAAGAGGACCGAGACCACUAUAAAUAUAGGUUAGCCACCACCAAGAGGGGGAUGGGAUGAAUCCACACCUCAUCACCUCACACCCGCACAAGAGCAGACCUCGUGAGGUUGUUCUUCCCAUGUACUAGUUCAUCCUGAGCCCCUCGUGAGGCAAAUCCACCACAAAGCAGGAGUAGGGUCUUACACCGCAAGGCGGCCCGAACCUGGGUAAAACUGUCGUGUUCAUCUUCUUCCCUGUUCCUUGAGCUAGGCUACAUGGCGACGCGUUGGUUGGCCGGAGAGGUUGAGUUCUUCGCACAUGCCCCAGAGUUCGAACCUCUUGGGUCUGCGGAGCCCUGAAUCAGACAAUGUGUGUCAAGCGCUUCGUAGUCGGAAUUGUGCAAGUGUUUGGCCCGAAGUAUUUGAGAUCUCCCAAUGCUGAAGAUGCCGAAAGGCUUUUGGAGAUGAACAAAGCUCGCGGGUUCACAGGUAUGCUUGGCUCAAUAGAUUGCAUACAUUGGAGUUGGAAGAACUGUCCUAAGGCAUGGCAUGGGCAAUUCCACGGCCAAAAAAGGGUUCCGCUAUAAUCCUUGAAGCCGUGACCGAUCAAGAGACUUGGAUUUGGCAUGCUUUUUUUGGAAUGCAUGGAUCUUUGAAUGACAUCAACGUUGUUAAUCGGUCACCACUCAUGAAUAAGAUUGCAAAUGGUGAAUUGCCACUUGUGCAUUUUGUAGCAAAUGGCCAUACAUACAACUAUGGCUACUAUCUUGCGGAUGGCAUCUACCCAAAAUGGCAAAUAUUUGUGAAGCCGUUGAAAAAACCAGAAGGUAAGAAAAUUCUAGAUUUCCACAAUGCUCAGACGGCGGUUAGGAAAGAUGUGGAGAGAGCUUUUAGGAUUUUGUAAGCCCAAAUUGCUAUUGUGAGAGGACCAGCUAGAUUUUGGGAUCAAAAGAUGCUUUGAUACAUCAUGCACGCUUGUGUGAUCAUACACAAUAUGAUCAUCGAGAAUGAGAUUGGCCAAGAUUUAGACUACUCUCAGUGUGAUCUCUUGGGACAUCCCAUGCGAGUGCAGCGGAGGGCUGGGAGGGUGGCCCGAUUUGUUGCCUCCUAUCAUGCCAUUCGACGUGCCGAAAAUGCAUGAUGAUAUUCAGAAGGAUCUCAUCGAGGAGUGGUGGGCAUGGAAUGGCCGACAAAGAGCAUGAUGAUUUGUAUGUUUGAUGUUGCAUUGUUGAACUAUUUGUUGUAUUGAAAGAUAAACUAUUCAUUUGAGUUGUAAUAAAAGUGAACUAUUUAUUGUUGAUUUUUUUUAUGUUUGAUCUUUUUGGUAUUGUUUGGAAUGCAUAUGUUGUUUGUAGAUUAGCGUGCACGCCUUUUUUGCAGCGCCUGCUGGAGUGGCUCGGGGACGCUAUAUUUUGCAGCGGCCGCUGUAGCCAGCGCACCACGGCACGCAAAAACUCAUAAUUCCGGCGCGCUAAACGGUUUUUUAGCGCGCCGCGCAUUGCGUGGCUGUUGAAGAUACUUGAAGUCUGUAACUCUAUCUUCUAAUCGCAAUGAACAUAGUAACCUGUGCUUUCGUCAAAAAUAAAAAAUAAAUAGAGUAACAAUUACAUAUUACGGCUGUAUCUUUUGCACGCCCACGUUGGAAAACCGGAAACUUAUGUGUUCGGGUAUGGUUCAUGGUUUCGCAACAUGGAGUGACGAUGACGGUCAUGCCCAGCCUGCCGGGCCCACAGCGUGACAACGCCCCUAAACAAAAAAUUUACUUGCACCAUUUCCAUAUAUCUAUCUAUACAUAACUUACUAUUACAUCACUACACACGCAGCGUGAAGAUGUUGUUGACUUUUGUAAUAUCUCAGGUGGCACGCUUUCUACCAAUCAUCUUUGGCAAGCGCCAUAACCAGAAACAAUUCCCGAGCACAUCAUCGGCUUUGGUUUCAUUCGGUUCGGUUCGGUUCUGGUUCCAGCCUCCGACACUGCCAGGUCGUUGUCGUUGAAUGCCUCCAAGUAAAUGAAUGAAACCUCCUUCUCCUCAAAUAAGAAUGAAACUUAAUCUACAAGCCUACGACUGCAUAUGUAUACAAUUGUGGACGCUCUAUUCUUGUUAGGUGGCAUUUCUUUACUGAAAAAAAUAUAUUCAUGUUCUUGCUCUCUUGGGAUGUGCAUAUGUCUGAUUUUUUUAGGUAAUAACUCUUAGUUUAUCAUGUUACACGAUGUUCGAUAUAUGGGCUUAAGAUUUUCUUAUGCUUGUAACAUGUGAUUUGUUUAGUUUUAUAAAUCAAUAAGUCGGGCCAGUUUUCUAAUAUUGCACUCGUAGGUCUAUAAUUUAGGUGCAGUGUUUUCCUUGAUAAUGGAAGAGCAAUUUAAGUGUAAUAUUUAGUUCAUAUAGUAUUAUUUAUGCAGACAAUGCCUUGCAAAUGACUACAGUUAGGUAAAAAAAUAGAAAUGUCACAAAAUAUUUAAAAGUGGGCAGCUGAUAAACAGGUAAUAUCUACCUUACUCCAUCCGUUCCAUAAUAUAGAAUACUUUAGUGGAUCGCCUUUCACCUCCAAACUUCUACAUUUAUAAUGAUCUUACAAUGAACUUGUGUUUAUUUCAGGAAAAUGUACUCCUUGAAAAUUUGCAGUCAACUGAAUAAUACUUGUUUGUAGGUCGAGACCUUGAGCAACUAAUAUUUAUUUAAAUGUUAAUUGAGCACUUGCAUAGUUUAGAGAACAUUAGCAAGUUGAUCUUGAGAUUAAAACUGUACACAUUUUAAUACCUAAAGUUGCAUUGACCUAUUUGCGCAAUUGUAGUCUUGAUGGUAUCCAACACGAUAGAUUGAGAAAUAAUUUUUAAAACAACUAAGAAAUAGCAACUGUGCAAGAAAAUAUUACAUUGUACUAAAGCUGCGAUAAUAAAAAUGGAUUGGAGGGAGUAGCAACUUUGAUCUAGAGAUUAGAGAUGUGAAGAUCUUAGUAAUAUCUAAAGUUUUUUGUUGUUGUGAAAGUACUAAUAUCUAAAGUUUUUUUUGCGAAAAGUAAUAUCUAAAGUUGCAUAAACGUAUUUGUACACUGGUAAUUUUGGUGAUACGCAACUCGACCAGGUGAGAAAUAAUUUUUGAGAGAGUAAGAAAUGGCAGUUCCGAAAGCGAAAGAAUAGUCUAGGAAGGAAAACGCAAAAAAAAAAAAUCAAAGAACGAAUGUGACACGAAAGUUUCUCAGUCGUCUUGGUUGCUUACGUACGCGGAUGAUCACGACAGAGAACCCAGUGCCCUGGGAAGGGAAACCAAAUGGCUUGGUUCGGUUCUUUCGGUUUCGGUUCUGGCUUGUGGCAAGGACUGCAAAAGUCACAUAAUACUAGUGGGUUUGAAUUCUCUCCACUUUGUCGCGCGUCUUCCUCCUCCUUAUAUAAUCCCCACCUUUUCCUAGCUCCAAACCUCAAGCCAAGCUCGCUCAUAGCUCCACAGCCCACACACGAGACGUGCAAUGGAUUCCCUCGCGUCCUUGAUCAACCUCGCCGCCUUGAUCCCCGGCGCCUGCCGCGACGCGGAGAUGCUGCCGGGUGCGCUCAUCUCCUGUGGCGUCCUCGAGGCAGCCGCAGCGCUCUGCCUCGCCAUCUCCAGAGCGCCCGGAGGUAUAUUUCUCCACCAUGGCAGAGCACCCUUCUUCCUGUACUACGGCAUCCUCGUCGCCGUGGUGAUCUUCGGGCUCCUCGAGGCGUCGGCCGGCUUCUGGGUGUCAGGCGAUGUGGUCGGACGGGGUGCCGUCGAGAAGACGAUGCUGUGGCUGGGCCUCCUGCCCAUCGUCUUCGUGGCUGCGCUUGGAGGCUUUGUGAUUCUGAAAAUGAAGUAGUUUUUGACGGGUAACGAAAAUGAUGUGGUUGAUCCUUGCUUUCGACGUUCGCUAUCAUGUACCGAUGUUGUUGUAAUCUGUUAGUCUGUGUCAGUUGUAAUCUGUUUGUUUGUGUAUCAGCGGUGUCAUUUAUCAGCUUUGAGGUUUAUUUUCCUUCCAACUGUAGUAUGUUUGUGGAGAUGAUAUUUGGGUUAUUGCGCUGUAACUAAUAAUAAUGAAAUAACGGAGCUUGUGUGUAUGUCGUUGUGCGUUCGACCAAUAUGAAAUUGUUGUUUUGGGGGAUCUGAUCUCAGAGACGGAGCCAGGAUUCAAACAUAGGGGGGCGGACAAAGUUUUGCCUCUAAUGUAGAGACUCGUAAAGAAACAUACAAAGACAAUCUACAUUUUUUUUGUGAGGGAGACAGCCUAAAUCUUCAUCAAAACAUGUGUCUUCUGUGAUCAAUUUCAAUUUUUUUCUCGAAAUUUAUCAUAAAGAAAAUGCAAAAUCAACUCAUGUGUUAAUUAAUCUAAAUCUUUCAGUACAUGAUGUGAUAAACAAUGCAAAACCUUGUCCUAUGGGUAAACCGGUAAAGGGAUAUAUUCCCUAAUUAAUCUUUCAUUCUUAUAUAGUAACCACAGUUCGAAUUGUGAGGUUCUAAAGGCAUGAAUUAAUAGAAUAACUAACGAGACUAACCUUAACCCCCUUUUCCUUGCUCGCCGCUUCUCAAUAUGGUCGCGGCCGGCCGGCCGGCCGCGCGUCCUUGCAAGGAUGGCCCUCGGCCCUCAUCAGCACAUACACGCCCUCUUGCGCGCAAGGAUCGUCGGCUCAGGCUCAUUGAAACGCCGCUGGUCAAGAACAUUUUUUUAGGGUUGGCGCUCGUCAAGAACUGCCCUAGACGGCUAUCAUCGAUAGGCAUCGCACGCAAGAAAAACAAACGAUCUUGAUCUGAUCUUGUCCCUUUUGUUGGGCUACUGCUGCAGGUGUGCUAAAGAUGGGCUUGGUGAUUUUGUUGGGCUUCACGUGGUGAGGGGGGGCGCUAUUAGCAAAAUAGUCACUUUUUCCUGCCGGGCUGCUAAUCGCCAACGNNNNNNNNNNNNNNNNNNNNNNNNNNNNNNNNNNNNNNNNNNNNNNNNNNNNNNNNNNNNNNNNNNNNNNNNNNNNNNNNNNNNNNNNNNNNNNNNNNNNNNNNNNNNNNNNNNNNNNNNNNNNNNNNNNNNNNNNNNNNNNNNNNNNNNNNNNNNNNNNNNNNNNNNNNNNNNNNNNNNNNNNNNNNNNNNNNNNNNNNNNNNNNNNNNNNNNNNNNNNNNNNNNNNNNNNNNNNNNNNNNNNNNNNNNNNNNNNNNNNNNNNNNNNNNNNNNNNNNNNNNNNNNNNNNNNNNNNNNNNNNNNNNNNNNNNNNNNNNNNNNNNNNNNNNNNNNNNNNNNNNNNNNNNNNNNNNNNNNNNNNNNNNAUAUGAAUUGCUGCCUGCUGUAGAAGAAGCAGAGGGGAACGAAUUAGUUCGUCCGGUACUCCCUCUCCCUCCCCAGUGUGCUGUAAUGUGCUCGGCCUGGUCCAUUCCAUUAAAUUUCUGGGCCAAACUUGCGGUAGCCUUAAAAAAACUAGCCUGGCCCAAACUUUUGAACAUGUACAGGCUGAACUCACGCAGCCCAUAGACCUUCCCGGGCCCAACGACCGACUGAAAGCGUGUCUGUAUAAUCUCAAAAAAACAAAAAAAACGCGUGUGCUUUCUUCUCCGCGUCCUACUGCAUUCGGCGCAUUCGUUUCACCGUUUUUUUUUUCUCUGCUCGGCUGCUGACAGCCGCAUUGUAUAUCGUAUUGUUGAGAGACAAGCGUCCUCUUAGCCUUCCUACCUGCCGCAUUGUAUAUCGUAUCGUCUUUUGUCCGCUCGGCUGCUCCCCCAGCUUUCCCCUCCAUUGACCACGCUCGAACUGCUCGUGCCGGAUCUGAUGGAGGCCGCGAUCGCAUGGCUGGUGCAGACCAUCCUUGCAACCCUCGUACUCGAGAAGCUGGAUGCGUGGAUUCGACGGGUUGGGCUAGCCGAUGACGUUGAGAAGCUCAAGUCGGAGAUCAGGAUAGUCAAGAUGGUGGUCUCUGCUGUGAAGAGCAGAGGGAUCAGGAACGAGUCGCUGGAUGAAUCUCUCGCUCUUCUCAAGGAGCGGCUCUAUGAAGCUGACGACGUGGUCGACGAGCUCGACUACUACAGGCUCCAGGAGCAAGUCCAAUGAGGUACACCUACUGCCCGGCUGCCUGCCCCUGCAGAUUCGAGCGUGCUAAUUCACUCCAACUUUUCUGUCCAAGGAGGUACGCACUUUACUACCUGCAUAUUCAAUACAAUACAAGCGUAUUAUUCGUUUGAGAUCCUAUUUUGCUUAAGAAAAUGAAAUUUAUAUUAUCUGAUCAAGGGCGACCAUAAUUUAAUUUCUGGUCCAUGUUUCGGUCAGGCACAGUUACAGGGGAUGAUGAGCCCGGAGGUAUGCACGGAGUUGAGCGAGUUGAUGAGACAUCGAGGGGCGAUGCUAGUGACAGUGUUGGCAAAUUACGGUCCAUGGUAUGGGAACACUUUACCAUCACAGAAAAAGAUAACGGAAAGCCCGUCAAAGCAGUAUGUAAUGUACACACUGUAGCAAUGAGUUCAAGUGCGAUACAAAGACCAACGGGACGUCGUCUAUGAGAAAACAUUUGCAGAAUGAGCAUUCUGUGACUUGUACGAAGAAACCUCUUGGAGCACAUCCACCAGACCCUUCAUCAAGGUACCAAAUUCUUUCUAAGCUUGGGGCCACUGUGAUCUGCUUACAGAUCGUUUACAUGCAUCUGCUUGGGGCCACUGUGAUCCCAAUUCAUCCUUUUCUUGCAAAGCAGCAGUGCGCCUAUUGUAAUCGCCAGCUCAUCCAGGAGAAAAGGAAAGAGACGACGGUCCAUGGCAUGGGAACAUUUUGAUGUCAUGGAAGAAGAAAACGAGCAGCCUAUGAAAGCAAGAUGUAAAUAUUGUCCCACUCAGAUCAAGUGCGGACCCAAGAGCGGGACAGCAGGUAUGCUCAACCAUUACAAGAUCUGCAAGGACAAACCUGGACCAAAUGAGCAUCCGCCGAACCUAUCAAGGUAGCUAAACAACAACAUACCUUGCAUCAAAACAUUUUUUAAACCAUUUAAUUAAGACUCUUACUAUGGUUCUAAAAGCCAAUUAAUUCAUGAUGCUUUUGUUAUUCCAGCACUGGUGAUGCUCAUGCACAUGUGAUGCCAAUCCUAAUUGGCGACUCAUCUACCGGAAAAGGUAGAGUGGAUGAGUCCGCACGAAUAAUUGUGGAUAACACAGUCUCCCCUUGGGACAAGGCCGAGUUAUCCAACAAGAUAAAAAGAAUAGCUAGUCAGUUGCAAUUCAUCCGAGGGGAAGUGAGUGAGAUUCCCAAGCUACAUGGAUCAGACUCUCCUUCAUGUUCAGAUCACCACCGGAGUACAACAUCAGAUCAGCACUUAAGAACAUCAAGUCUUCUUCCAAGGAAAGUUUAUGGAAGAGUUACAGAAAAGAGUUGCAUCAUGAAAUUGAUAAUGACAGAAAACAGAUCUGACAACGUAGUUGUUGUGCCUAUUGUAGGCAUUGCAGGUAUUGGAAAGACAACUCUUGCUCAACUUGUGUACAAUGAUCCAAACGUGGAGCGUCAAUUUCACCAUAGGAUAUGGGUUUGGGUGUCUCACAACUUCGAUGAAAUGAGGAUAACAAGGGGAUGUUGAGCCUUGUUUCUCCAGAGAAACAUGAAGGAAUAGACUGCUUUGUGAAGCUUCAGGAGAUCUUGAAAAGUCAUGUCAAAUCUAAGAGGGUUUUACUUAUUUUGGAUGACGUCUGGGAGGACAAGAACGAUUGCCGAUGGAACCAAUUAUUGGCUCCUUUUCAGGCUGAGAGUGCUAAUGGCAAUGUGAUUCUUGUGACAACUAGAAAUUUCUCUGUUGCAAAGAUGAUUGGACCAACGGGGCCAAUUAAGUUAGGUGCUUUGGAAAAUGAUGACUUCUGGUUAUUGUUCAAAUCUUGUGCGUUUGGUGAUGCAAACUAUGAAUGACUUGGAAAUCUUAGCACCAUUGGACGACAAAUAGCAGAGGAGUUAAAGGGCAAUGUGUUAGCAGCAAUAACUGCAGGGGCACUAUUAAGAGAUCAUCUUACUGUUGACCAUUGGAGUAACGUUCUCAAGAAAGAGAGUUGGAAAUCAUUGGGACUCAGUGGGGGCAUCAUGCCUGCUUUGAAGAUUAGCUAUGAUGAGCUACCAUAUAAUUUACAACAAUGUUUCUCAUAUUGUUCUAUAUUUCCUAACAAAUAUCAGUUUCUUGGUAAGGAUUUGGUAUAUAUUUGGAUUUCUCAGGGAUUUGUAAAUUGCACUCAUUUUAGCAAGAGAUUGGAGGAGACGGGGUGUGAAUAUCUGAAUAAUUUGGUGAACCUGGGAUUCUUUCAGCAAGUUGAGAAACAACAGGACGAAGAUGGGCGUUUGGAAGAAGAAUUUUCUCCAGGCUGUCAGAUUUGGUAUUCUAUGUGUGGUCUCAUGCACGAUUUUGCGAGGAUGGUUUCAAGGACUGAAUGUGCAACUAUAGAUGGUCUACAGUGCAAUAAAAUGUUCCCAACCAUACACCAUUUGUCAAUAGUAACCGGUUCAGCAUACAACAAAGAUUGGCACGGGAACAUUCCUCGAAAUGAGAAGUUCGAAGAAAAUCUGAGAAAUAAAGUUAUAUCAGUUAGCAAAUUGAGAACAGUGGUUGUACUUGGGCACUUUGACUCUUUCUUUGUAGAAUUGUUCCAUAUAUAUUCUGUAAGGCACAAAAUUUACGCCUGCUACAAGUAUCUCCACCACCCACUUAUCUGUUUCACGUGCCUGCAGCAUCCACUGAUUUUAAUUCCUUCAGGUGCAGCUUGGCAAAUCCUCUGCAUGUUCGUUAUCUAAAACUUGAGUUGCAUGGGACUGUACCACAAGUUUUGAGUACAUUUUUUCAUCUUCAAGUAUGUGAUGUUGGAUCAAACAUGAAUACUUCUCUACCCAAUGGCUUGCAUAAUCUUGUUAGCCUGCGGCAUCUUAUUGCACAAAAGAGAGCCUAUUCUUCCAUUGCUAGCAUUGGUAACAUGACAUCUAUCCAGGAGCUACAUGAUUUUGAGGUCCGAAUUUCUAGAGGCUUUGAGAUUACACAACUCAAAUCCAUGAAUGAGCUUGUUCAACUUGGAGUGUCUCACCUUGACAGUGUUAAAACCCAGGAGGAGGCUUAUGAGGCAGGACUAAGAAACAAAGAACACUUAGAGGAGCUUCAUUUGUCCUGGAAUGAUACAUUUUCAGAGAACGAGUCUGUCAGUGACACUAGAUCUGAAUCUUCUGUAAACAUGGCAAGAGAAGUGAUUGAGGGUCUUGAACCACAUAUGGAUUUAAAGCAUCUACAUAUAUCUGGGUAUAAUGGUACUACUUCACCAACUUGGCUUGCCAGGAAUAUCUCAGUUACCUCCUUGCAGACACUUCAUCUUGAUGGUUGUGGAGGAUGGAAAAUACUUCCUUCUUUGGAAAGUCUUCCAUUUCUUACAAAACAAAAGUUGAGCAGCAUGCGGGAGAUAACAGAAGUAUUGGUUCCUUCACUGGAGGAACUAGUUUUACUCAAGAUGCCUAAGUUUGAUCUAUUUGAGAACAAUAAUAAAUUCGAAAUCAAGCAGAGGUCAUGGUUGCCUUCUCUUAGAAAAUUAAUUCUGUGUGAUUGCCCUCAAUUGAAAGUGUUGAAGUCCCUUCCGCCUUCAACAAUCUGUUCUGAGUUACUCAUCAGUGGAGUUUCCAUGCUUCCAGAUAUGGCGGGAUCAUCCAGCGGAAAUUUAAGUAUUGAUUAUGGUAAUCAGUAUAUAGACGAUGAUAUUGAUGAAUAUUCUGAUGUGUUGAGGAUACUGGAUGGAAAGUUUUUGGCAUUCCAUAAUCUUGGAAACCUCAAAUCGAUGAACAUAUGUGGUGCGACAAACCUGAGGUCUUUUUCGUUCCAAGGUUUUAGCCAUCUCAUCUCUUUAAGGAGUUUGGAAAUAAAAGAGUGCGAAAUACUUUUCUCUUCAGAUGUGACGCAGCCUACCCUUGAAGAUAUGACAACCUUCCCUUCACUUGGAAGUCUCACUAUUGAGUCAUGUGGAAUAGCAGGGAAGCAGCUAUCUCUGAUGUUGCAACUGUUGGAAAUAUGCCCUAGAGGCAAUAAUAAAAGUAUUAUUAUAUUUCAUUGUUCAUGAUAAUUGUCUUGUAUUCAUGCUAUAACUGUAUUAUCCGGAAAUCGUAAUACACGUGUGAAUACUUAGACCACACUAAGUCCCUGGUAAGCCUCUAGUUGACCAGCUCGUUGUGAUCAACAGAUAGUCAUGGUUUCCUGACUAUGGACAUUGGAUGUCGUUGAUAACGGGAUCACAUCAUUAGGAGAAUGAUGUGAUGGACAAGACCCAAUCCUAAGCAUAGCAUAAAAGAUCGAGUAGUUCGUUUUGCUAGAGCUUUGCAAGUGUCAAGUAUCUCUUCCUUCGACCAUGAGAUCGUGUAACUCCCGGAUACCGUAAGAAUGCCUUGGGUGUACCAAACGUCACAACGUAACUGGGUGACUAUAAAGGUGCAUUGCAGGUAUCUCCGAAAGUAGCUGUUGGGUUGACACGGAUCGAGACUGGGAUUUGUCACUCCGUAUGACGGAGAGGUAUCGCUGGGCCCACUCGGUAAUGCAUCAUCAUAAUGAGCUCAAUGUGACCAAGGUGUUGGACACGGGAUCAUGCAUUACGGUACGAGUAAAGUGACUUGCCGGUAACGAGACUGAACAAGGUAUUGGGAUACCGACGAUCGAGUCUCGGGCAAGUAACGUACCGACUGGCAAAGGGAAUUGCAUACAGGGUUUUGAUCGAAUCCUCGACAUAGUGGUUCAUCCGAUGACAACAUCGAGGAGCAUGUGGGAGCCAUCAUGGGUAUCCAGAUCCCGCUGAUGGUUAUUGACUAAGAGAGACUCGGUCAUGUCUACAUGUCUCCCGAACCCGUAGGGUCUACACACUUAAGGUUCAGUCACGCUAGGGUUGUAGGGAUAUGUAUAUGCAGUAACCCGAAUGUUGUUCGGAGUCCCGGAUGAGAUCCCGGACGUCACGAGGAGUUCCGGAAUGGUCCGGAGGUAAAGAUUUAUAUAUAGGAAGUGCUAUUUCGGGCACCGGGACAAGUUUCGGGGUUAUCGGUAUUGUACCGGGACCACCGGAGGGGUCCCGGGGGUCCACCGGGUGGGGCCACCCAUCCCCGGGGGCCACAUGGGCUGUAGGGGGUGCGCCUUGGCCUGCAUGGGCUAAGGGCACCAGCCCCACAAGGCCCAUGCGCCUAGGGUUUCCCCCUAGGAGGAGUCCUAGUGGUGGAAGGCACCCCUAGGUGCCUUGGGGGGGAGGGAAACCUCCCUAGGCCGCCGCCCCCCCUAGUAGAUCUCAUCUACUAGGGCCGGCCACCCCCCCUUGGCACCCCUAUAUAUAGUGGGGGGAGAGGAGGGACUUCAUACCUUGAGCCCUGGCCUUUGGUUGCCUCCUUCUCCCUCCCCAACACCUCCUCCAACUCCUUAUAGCUUAGCGAAGCUCUGCCGGAGUACUGCAGCUCCACCAACACCACGCCGUCAUGCUGCUGCUGGUGCCAUCUCCCUCAACCUCUCCUCCCUCCCUUGCUGGAUCAAGAAGGAGGAGACGUGGCUGUUCCGUACGUGUGUUGAACGCGGAGGUGCCGUCCGUUCGGUACUAAGGUCAUCGGUGAUUUGAAUCACGUCGAGUACGACUACAUCAUCACCUUGCAAGCUUCCGCACGCGAUCUACAAGUGGUAUGUAGAUGCAAACUCUCUCCCUAGACUCGUUGCUUAGAUGAACUCAUAGAUGGAUCUUGGUGAAACCGUAGGAAAAAUUUUAAUUUUCUGCAACGUUCCCCAACAGUGGUAUCAGAGCUAGGUCUAUACGUAGUUCUCUUUGCACGAGUAGAACACAACUUUGUUGUGGGCAUGGAUUUUGUCAUCUUACUUGCCUCUACUAGUCUUUUCUUGCUCAACGGUAUUGUGGGAUGAAGCGGCCCGGACCAACCUUACACGUACUCUUACGUGAGACCGGUUCCACCGACUGACAUGCACAAGUUGCAUAAGGUGGCUGGCGGGUGUCUGUCUCUCCCACCUUAGUUGAAGCGGAAUCGAUGAACAGGGCCCUUAUGAAGGGUAAAUAGAAGUUGACAAAAUCACGUUGUGGUGAUUUGUAGGUAAGAAAACGUUCUUGCUAGAACCCAAUUGCAGCCACGUAAAAGAUGCAACAACAAUUAGAGGACGUCUAACUUGUUUUUGCAGCGAUUGAUCAUGUGAUGUGAUAUGGCCAGAAGUUGUGAUGAAUAAUGAAUUGUGAUGUAUGAGAUCAUGUUCUUUGUAAUAGGAUUCACGACUUGCAUGUCGAUGAGUAUGACAACCGGCAGGAGCCAUAGGAGUUGUCAUUAUUUUUUUUGUAUGACCUGCGUGUCAUUGAAUAACGUCAUGUAAACUACUUUACUUUAUUGCUAAACGUUAGUCAUAGAAGUAGAAGUAGUCGUUGGCGUGACAACUUCAUGAAGACACGAUGAUGGAGAUCAUGGUGUCAAGCCGGUGACAAGAUGAUCAUGGAGCCCCGAAGAUGAAGAUCAAUGGAGCUAUAUGAUAUUGGCCAUAUCAUGUCACAACUAUAUAAUUGCAUGUGAUGUUUAUUAUGUAUUAUGCAUCUUGUUUACUUAGGACGACGGUAGUAAAUAAGAUGAUCCCUUAUAAAAUUUCAAGAAGUGUUCUCCCCUAACUGUGCACCGUUGCUACAGUUCGUCGUUUCUAAGCACCACGUGAUGAUCGGGUGUGAUGGAUUCUUACGUUCACAUACAACGGGUGUAAGACAGUUUUACACAGCGAAAACACUUAGGGUUAACUUGACGAGCCUAGCAUGUGCAGACAUGGCCUCGGAACACGGAGACCGAAAGGUCGAACACGAGUCGUAUGGAAGAUACGAUCAACAUGAAAAUGUUCACCGAUGAUGACUAGUCCGUCUCACGUGAUGAUCGGACACGGGCUAGUCGACUCGGAUCGUGUAACACUUAGAUGACUAAAGGGAUGUCUAAUCUAAGUGGGAGUUCAUAAUUUGAUUAGAACUUUAUUAUCAUGAACUUAGUCUAAAACUUUGCAAAUAUGUCUUGUAGAUCAAUGGCCAACGCUAAUGUCAACAUGAACUUCAACGCGUUCCUAGAGAAAACCAAGCUGAAAGAUGAUGGCAGCAACUAUACGGACUGGGUCCGGAACCUGAGGAUCAUCCUCAUAGCUGCCAGGAAACAAUAUGUCCUAGAAGGACCGCUAGGUGACGCUCCCGUCCCAGAGAACCAAGACAUUAUGAAUGCUUGGCAGUCUCGCGCUGAUGAUUACUCCCUCGUUCAGUGUGGCAUGCUUUACAGCUUAGAACCGGGGCUCCAAAAGCGUUUUGAGCAUCACGGAGCAUAUGAGAUGUUCGAAGAGCUGAAACUAGUUUUCCAAGCUCAUGCCCGGGUCGAGAGAUAUGAUGUCUCCGACAAGUUCUACAGUUGUAAGAUGGAGGAAAACAGUUCUGUCAGUGAGCACAUCCUGAAGAUGUCUGGGUUGCACAACCGUAUGACACAGCUGAACAUUAACCUCCCAGAUGAGGCGGUCAUUGACAGAAUCCUCCAGUCGCUCCCACCAAGCUACAAGAGCUUUGUGAUGAACUACAACAUGCAGGGAAUGGAAAAGACCAUUCCUGAAGUGUUCUCGAUGCUGAAGUCAGCAGAGGCUGAAAUCAAGAAAGAACAUCAAGUGUUGAUGGUCAAUAAGACCACUAAGUUCAAGAAGGGCAAGGGUAAGAAGAACUUCAAGAAGGACGGAAAAGAUGUUGCCGCGCCUGGUAAGCCAGUUACCGGGAAGAAGUCAAAGAAUGGACCCAAGCCUGAGACUGAGUGCUUUUAUUGCAAGGGGAAGGGUCACUGGAAGCGGAACUGCCCCAAAUACUUAGCGGAUAAGAAGGCCGGCAACACCAAAGGUAUAUUUGAUAUACAUGUGAUUGAUGUGUACCUUACCAGUAAUCGUAGUAACUCCUGGGUAUUUGAUACCGGUGCCGUUGCUCAUAUUUGUAACUCACAGCAGGAGCUGCGGAAUAAACGGAGACUGGCAAAGGACGAGGUGACGAUGCGCGUCGGGAAUGGUUCCAAAGUCGAUGUGAUCGCCGUCGGCACGCUGCCUCUACAUUUACCUACGGGAUUAGUUUUGAACCUCAAUAAUUGUUAUUUAGUGCCAAGUUUGAGCAUGAACAUUGUAUCUGGAUCUCGUUUAAUACGAGAUGGCCACUCAUUUAAGUCUGAGAAUAAUGGUUGUUCGAUUUAUAUGAGAGAUAUGUUUUAUGGUCAUGCUCCGAUGGUCAAUGGUUUAUUCUUAAUGAAUCUCGAGCGUAAUAUUACACAUGUUCAUAGUGUAGAUGCCAAAAGAUUUAAAGUUGAUAACGAUAGUCCCACAUAUUUGUGGCACUGCCGCCUUGGUCACAUUGGUGUCAAGCGCAUGAAGAAGCUCCAUGCUGAUGGACUUUUAGAGUCUCUUGAUUAUGAAUCGUUUGACACGUGCGAACCAUGCCUCUUAGGUAAAAUGACCAAGACUCCGUUCUCCGGAACAAUGGAGCGAGCAACCAACUUGUUGGAAAUCAUACAUACCGAUGUGUGCGGUCCAAUGAGCGUUGAGGCUCGCGGAGGAUAUCGUUAUGUUCUCACUCUCAUAGAUGACUUGAGUAGAUAUGGGUAUGUCUACUUAAUGAAACACAAGUCUGAGACCUUUGAAAAGUUCAAGGAAUUUCAGAAUGAGGUGGAGAAUCAACGUGACCGAAAGAUAAAAUUCUUACGAUCAGAUCGUGGAGGAGAAUACUUAAGUCACGAAUUUGGUACACACUUAAAGAAAUGUGGAAUCGUUUCACAGCUCACGCCGCCUGGAACACCUCAGCGAAACGGUGUGUCCGAACGUCGUAAUCGCACUCUAUUGGAUAUGGUGCGGUCUAUGAUGUCUCUUACCGAUUUACCGCUAUCAUUUUGGGGAUACGCUCUAGAGACAGCUACAUUCACUUUAAAUAGGGCACCGUCUAAAUCCGUUGAGACGACACCGUGUGAAUUAUGGUUUGGAAAGAAACCUAAGCUGUCGUUUCUAAAAGUUUGGGGAUGCGAAGCUUAUGUCAAGAAACUUCAACCUGAAAAGCUCGAACCCAAGUCGGAAAAAUGCGUAUUCAUAGGAUACCCUAAGGAAACUAUAGGGUAUACCUUCUACUUAAGAUCCGAAGGCAAGAUCUUUGUUGCCAAGAACGGAUGCUUUCUGGAAAAAGAGUUUCUCUCGAAAGAAGUAAGUGGGAGGAAAGUAGAACUCGAUGAAGUACUACCUCUUGAGCGGGAUAGUGACGCAGCACAGGAAACCAUUCGUGUGAUGCCCACACCAACUGAAGAGGAAAACCAUGAUAAUGAUCAAGGUACUUCAGAUCAAGUUACUGCUGAACUUCGUAGGUCCACAAGGACACGUUCCGCACCAGAGUGGUACGGCAACCCUGUCCUGGAAAUCAUGUUGUUAGACAACAAUGAACCUUCGAACUAUGAAGAAGCAAUGACGGGCCCGGAUUCCAACAAAUGGCUUGAAGCCAUGAAAUUCGAGAUAGAAUCCAUGUAUGAAAACAAAGUAUGGACUUUGACAGACUUGCCCGAUGAUCGGCGAGCGAUAGAAAACAAAUGGAUCUUUAAGAAGAAGACGGACGCGGAUGGUAAUGUUACCAUCUAUAAAGCUCGACUUGUCGCUAAGGGUUAUCGACAGGUUCAAGGGAUUGACUACGACGAGACAUUCUCUCCCGUAGCGAAGCUAAAGUCCGUCCGAAUCAUGUUAGCAAUUGCCGCAUACUAUGAUUAUGAGAUAUGGCAGAUGGACGUCAAAACAGCAUUCCUUAACGGGCAUCUUAAGGAAGAACUGUAUAUGAUGCAGCCGGAAGGUUUUGUCGAUCCUCAGAACGCUAACAAAGUAUGCAAGCUCCAGCGAUCCAUUUAUGGACUGGUGCAAGCAUCUCGGAGUUGGAACAUUCGCUUUGAUGAGAUGAUCAAAGCGUUUGGGUUUAUGCAGACUUAUGGAGAAGCCUGCGUUUACAAGAAAGUGAGUGGGAGCUCUGUAGCAUUUCUCAUAUUAUAUGUAGAUGACAUACUCCUGAUGGGAAAUAAUAUAGAAUUUCUGGACAGCAUUAAGGCCUACUUGAAUAAGUGUUUUUCAAUGAAGGACCUUGGAGAAGCUGCUUAUAUAUUGGGCAUCAAGAUCUAUAGAGAUAGAUCGAGACGCCUCAUAGGUCUUUCACAAAGUACAUACCUUGAUAAGAUUUUGAAGAGAUUCAGAAUGGAUCAGUCCAAGAAGGGGUUCUUGCCUAUNNNNNNNNNNNNNNNNNNNNNNNNNNNNNNNNNNNNNNNNNNNNNNNNNNNNNNNNNNNNNNNNNNNNNNNNNNNNNNNNNNNNNNNNNNNNNNNNNNNNNNNNNNNNNNNNNNNNNNNNNNNNNNNNNNNNNNNNNNNNNNNNNNNNNNNNNNNNNNNNNNNNNNNNNNNNNNNNNNNNNNNNNNNNNNNNNNNNNNNNNNNNNNNNNNNNNNNNNNNNNNNNNNNNNNNNNNNNNNNNNNNNNNNNNNNNNNNNNNNNNNNNNNNNNNNNNNNNNNNNNNNNNNNNNNNNNNNNNNNNNNNNNNNNNNNNNNNNNNNNNNNNNNNNNNNNNNNNNNNNNNNNNNNNNNNNNNNNNNNNNNNNNNNNNNNNNNNNNNNNNNNNNNNNNNNNNNNNNNNNNNNNNNNNNNNNNNNNNNNNNNNNNNNNNNNNNNNNNNNNNNNNNNNNNNNNNNNNNNNNNNNNNNNNNNNNNNNNNNNNNNNNNNNNNNNNNNNNNNNNNNNNNNNNNNNNNNNNNNNNNNNNNNNNNNNNNNNNNNNNNNNNNNNNNNNNNNNNNNNNNNNNNNNNNNNNNNNNNNNNNNNNNNNNNNNNNNNNNNNNNNNNNNNNNNNNNNNNNNNNNNNNNNNNNNNNNNNNNNNNNNNNNNNNNNNNNNNNNNNNNNNNNNNNNNNNNNNNNNNNNNNNNNNNNNNNNNNNNNNNNNNNNNNNNNNNNNNNNNNNNNNNNNNNNNNNNNNNNNNNNNNNNNNNNNNNNNNNNNNNNNNNNNNNNNNNNNNNNNNNNNNNNNNNNNNNNNNNNNNNNNNNNNNNNNNNNNNNNNNNNNNNNNNNNNNNNNNNNNNNNNNNNNNNNNNNNNNNNNNNNNNNNNNNNNNNNNNNNNNNNNNNNNNNNNNNNNNNNNNNNNNNNNNNNNNNNNNNNNNNNNNNNNNNNNNNNNNNNNNNNNNNNNNNNNNNNNNNNNNNNNNNNNNNNNNNNNNNNNNNNNNNNNNNNNNNNNNNNNNNNNNNNNNNNNNNNNNNNNNNNNNNNNNNNNNNNNNNNNNNNNNNNNNNNNNNNNNNNNNNNNNNNNNNNNNNNNNNNNNNNNNNNNNNNNNNNNNNNNNNNNNNNNNNNNNNNNNNNNNNNNNNNNNNNNNNNNNNNNNNNNNNNNNNNNNNNNNNNNNNNNNNNNNNNNNNNNNNNNNNNNNNNNNNNNNNNNNNNNNNNNNNNNNNNNNNNNNNNNNNNNNNNNNNNNNNNNNNNNNNNNNNNNNNNNNNNNNNNNNNNNNNNNNNNNNNNNNNNNNNNNNNNNNNNNNNNNNNNNNNNNNNNNNNNNNNNNNNNNNNNNNNNNNNNNNNNNNNNNNNNNNNNNNNNNNNNNNNNNNNNNNNNNNNNNNNNNNNNNNNNNNNNNNNNNNNNNNNNNNNNNNNNNNNNNNNNNNNNNNNNNNNNNNNNNNNNNNNNNNNNNNNNNNNNNNNNNNNNNNNNNNNNNNNNNNNNNNNNNNNNACUGUUGGAAAUAUGCCCUAGAGGCAAUAAUAAAAGUAUUAUUAUAUUUCAUUGUUCAUGAUAAUUGUCUUGUAUUCAUGCUAUAACUGUAUUAUCCGGAAAUCGUAAUACACGUGUGAAUACUUAGACCACACUAAGUCCCUGGUAAGCCUCUAGUUGACCAGCUCGUUGUGAUCAACAGAUAGUCAUGGUUUCCUGACUAUGGACAUUGGAUGUCGUUGAUAACGGGAUCACAUCAUUAGGAGAAUGAUGUGAUGGACAAGACCCAAUCCUAAGCAUAGCAUAAAAGAUCGAGUAGUUCGUUUUGCUAGAGCUUUGCAAGUGUCAAGUAUCUCUUCCUUCGACCAUGAGAUCGUGUAACUCCCGGAUACCGUAAGAAUGCCUUGGGUGUACCAAACGUCACAACGUAACUGGGUGACUAUAAAGGUGCAUUGCAGGUAUCUCCGAAAGUAGCUGUUGGGUUGACACGGAUCGAGACUGGGAUUUGUCACUCCGUAUGACGGAGAGGUAUCGCUGGGCCCACUCGGUAAUGCAUCAUCAUAAUGAGCUCAAUGUGACCAAGGUGUUGGACACGGGAUCAUGCAUUACGGUACGAGUAAAGUGACUUGCCGGUAACGAGACUGAACAAGGUAUUGGGAUACCGACGAUCGAGUCUCGGGCAAGUAACGUACCGACUGGCAAAGGGAAUUGCAUACAGGGUUUUGAUCGAAUCCUCGACAUAGUGGUUCAUCCGAUGACAACAUCGAGGAGCAUGUGGGAGCCAUCAUGGGUAUCCAGAUCCCGCUGAUGGUUAUUGACUAAGAGAGACUCGGUCAUGUCUACAUGUCUCCCGAACCCGUAGGGUCUACACACUUAAGGUUCAGUCACGCUAGGGUUGUAGGGAUAUGUAUAUGCAGUAACCCGAAUGUUGUUCGGAGUCCCGGAUGAGAUCCCGGACGUCACGAGGAGUUCCGGAAUGGUCCGGAGGUAAAGAUUUAUAUAUAGGAAGUGCUAUUUCGGGCACCGGGACAAGUUUCGGGGUUAUCGGUAUUGUACCGGGACCACCGGAGGGGUCCCGGGGGUCCACCGGGUGGGGCCACCCAUCCCCGGGGGCCACAUGGGCUGUAGGGGGUGCGCCUUGGCCUGCAUGGGCCAAGGGCACCAGCCCCACAAGGCCCAUGCGCCUAGGGUUUCCCCCUAGGAGGAGUCCUAGUGGUGGAAGGCACCCCUAGGUGCCUUGGGGGGGAGGGAAACCUCCCUAGGCCGCCGCCCCCCUAGUAGAUCUCAUCUACUAGGGCCGGCCACCCCCCCUUGGCACCCCUAUAUAUAGUGGGGGGAGAGGAGGGACUUCAUACCUUGAGCCCUGGCCUUUGGUUGCCUCCUUCUCCCUCCCCAACACCUCCUCCAACUCCUUAUAGCUUAGCGAAGCUCUGCCGGAGUACUGCAGCUCCACCAACACCACGCCGUCGUGCUGCUGCUGGUGCCAUCUCCCUCAACCUCUCCUCCCUCCCUUGCUGGAUCAAGAAGGAGGAGACGUGGCUGUUCCGUACGUGUGUUGAACGCGGAGGUGCCGUCCGUUCGGUACUAAGGUCAUCGGUGAUUUGAAUCACGUCGAGUACGACUACAUCAUCACCUUGCAAGCUUCCGCACGCGAUCUACAAGUGGUAUGUAGAUGCAAACUCUCUCCCUAGACUCGUUGCUUAGAUGAACUCAUAGAUGGAUCUUGGUGAAACCGUAGGAAAAAUUUUAAUUUUCUGCAACGUUCCCCAACAGCAACAUGCACCGAAUCUAGAGGAAUUGGAUUUAAAUUCACUAGAAGCACUGACGGAGGACUCGUCAUCAGCAAGAAAGGAAGACUUUUACAUUCCAUUAAAGCUCGCCUCCUCUCUCAAGAAGAUAACCAUGGAGUCCUGCCCUGGUCUAACAUUUAUUAACUGGAGCUGGAGCGGCGGAGGCUUGUCUGGAUUCGCCUUCCUUGAGAAGCUAACUAUUUGGAAAUGCCCCGACCUGCUCUCGCCUUUGGUGCACAAAGACGGAAGGGAUGACGAUGCGAACGGGAGAUGGCUCCUCCCGCCAUCACUUGAAGAACUUGAAAUCAAUGACUAUUAUUCCCUCGGAACACUGCAACCCUGCUUUCCUAGAGAUAGCACCAGCCUUAAAAAGUUUGUGGUAGAGUGGGGUCAUGAUUUGCAUACUAUACAGCUGCACUCAUGCACGGCGCUAGAACAAUUGGAGAUUAAAUGGUGUGUGUCCCUCACAGCACUAGAGGGCUUGCAGUUCCUUGGCAGACUCACGCAUUUGGAAGUAUCAUGCUGCCCUGGUUUGGUGCAUGAGGCCAACGGAAGAUGGCUCCUCCCAACAUCACUUCGCCAACUUGAAAUCAACAAUAGCCAUUCCCAACAAACCCUGCAACCUUGCUUUCCUACAGAUAGCACCAGCCUUGAAAGUUUAAAGGUACGGAAGAGCCCAGAUUUGCAAUCUAUACAGUUGCACUCUUGCACAGCACUGGAAGAAUUGACGAUUGGGGAUUGUGGAUCGCUUACUGCACUAGAGGGGUUGCAAUGCCUUGGCAGACUCAGGCAUUUGUAUGUAUCAGAUUGCCCUGGCUUGCCACCAUUUCUGGGGAGCUUUUCAAGGCCGGACUGUGGGAUCUGCCCCCGGCUGGAAAGGCUUGAGAUCGAUGAACCAUCUGUCCUUACCACAUCAUUCUGCAAGCACCUCACCUCCCUGCAAAGCCUACAACUUUAUCGUUUUGAGAAAGUGAGUAGACUAACAGAUGAGCAAGAGCGAGCGCUUGUGCUCCUCAAGUCCCUGAAAGAGCUCCGAUUUUUCUUUUGUUAUGAUCUCGUAGACCUUCCUGCGCGUCUGCGCGACCUUCCUUCCCUCCAGAGAUUGAAGAUAAAGUGGUGUGGGGGCAUCUCGAGGCUGCCCGUCACAGGCCUCCCACUUUCGCUGGAACAACUGGAAAUCUAUGAUUGCAGCAAGGAGCUAACUGAUGAAUGCAGGCUGCUACCACCGAGCAAGCUAAAUGUCAAAAUUGAUUGAUGUGUUUGAAUUGAUUACUCGAGGCCAUGUUAAGCAGUAUUUUUACACACACAUCAUAUAUAUAGCUGGGUUGCUUUUGAGGCAAUCUUGUGCGAUAUAUCCUCAGACCUGACAUACCCUCAUAAAUGUGCGGUGUGCUCAUUGCAGAACGAGCUGUCUCUGCAGGCACUCAAGCUGCAAAUCAUAUAUCAUGUAACAGGUGAACCGGCAUGUUGUGCUGUUUGUUAUUCAUCUCGUCUUGUCAACUAGAAAAGAUGAUUACUAGAAAAGAGAGAACCACAUUGGAUAAACCGGAAGAUUCGUUAUGUUGUUCGUUACAAAAGUUAGUUUAGUCCGGAAUUUCGUUGCUACGCCAUCCACAUGUGCUCUGCAGCUGCAAUAAUGAACUUUAGAGAUCAGCAUUCUAGCACUCGCCUUAUACGAUAAGAAUAUGUUGGGGGUACUCUUAAUUACAUAAAUGUUCUUAUUAUCGGUUAGAAGUCAGCAACCUGGUGUGCCGGCGCUGAUUACUAGUUUCCAUUGUUCUGAUAUCCUGAUAUGUGUGAUGCAGACAUGACGACAUGUGUGCGUGUGCGUGCUAUCUAUCCUGGUACAUCCUAACAAGUUAAUUUCUUCGCUUUUUUUUUGCCUUUGUGAUACUUCAACUAUCAAACUGUUCUUGUAUCUUCCCACAAUUUUUUUUUUUUGAGAACAUCUUCACACAAUUUUCUCCUGGUUUGGAAUCACUGUGUCAGUGGUUUUUGCUUUGCGGACUUGUGGUGGUUGUUUUCUUCAAGCUUAGCCUGAAGCUUGCUGGAGCUGAGGUUAUGAAUGUGCAACGUAAAUAAAUUUGUUAUCAAAUAUAAGCCCAGGAUUAGUUACCCGAGUGAACGAUUAGAUCAGAGAAGAAGAAGCAUCAACUCAUCGCUUCAAUUCAUGGAGACGAAACUUAUCACCUCAUCUCACACCAGCAUUGAAACUGCAUCAAUCAAUUCGACCAUUAAGCAAUUGCCCAACAUUAGUGAGAAACACAAACAAUCUAAUUUCCUGGAAAUUGCAACAGCUAGGCUGCACCAUUUUUUCCAAGAAAAAAAGCUCACCUGCACGGCUGCACCGGGUACUGACAUUCCGACAGUUAUAAUCAAGAAAAGCCUAUAGCAACAAGAAAUUAUCAAGUUACAGGAUAGUAACGGGCCAGUUUAAGCUUGACGUAUCUCAUAAUAAUAUAGUUAGACACUUCUGAAAUCAAAGGUGAGUAUAAUCUUACAAAGUCGAGAAACACUACAGGGAUGGAAAUUCGCAUUCACUCACCCUUGCAUGGCUACUGACAUUAUAUCAUGCAUAUGCCAUUCUCAUAUCCCAUAUAAGUACAUCACAAGACAAAGAUGAUAGCCAUAAUUUCAAUAUUUUCUUACUCCAAUGCCAUACUUAGGUCGCCCAUAAGCAUAUAUAAAAUCAAGUACAGAAUAGAUGUGCUAGACAAAACACAUCAAUACAAAAGCCACCUUCAGAUCAGAAGGCCAGAUGAACCACUUUUCACUUAUAUAGAUAUAGUUGAGCUGAGCUAUGAGAUUACCCACAAAGCAAUCCAUCCACUAGGAACUAGGUUAACUAAAUUCAAGCCGACGUGCACAUCCCAUAAAUAAGUACUCACAUCCUCCACCUACUCAAAUCCUACUGUUAUCACCGCAUCUCACGCAAGCAUUGCAGCUGCAUUGAUCAUUUCGACCAUGUAAGCACUUGAUGAGCCGUAGCAAUCCCUGCAAAGAAAAGAAGAACAUUCCCAAGGGGUAAUAUUUGUUUACAGGGGAGUAUUUGAGAUGUGAAAAAAACUCAGAUAUUUGCAGCACCAACCAAACACGUUUUACUGGCACUCCAGUUAUAUGUUAGGAAAAGCUAACAGAGACAGGAGGUUCUCUUACCCAGUAAUAGCAGGGCUGUUAUUAAUAAAUACAGACACUAACUGAAAUCAAGGGGUAUAAUUUUGGAAAAGGCGAGCAGCAUCACUGGGGCAAGAGUGCCAAUCAACUCAGGUUUGUAUGGCUACUAAAAUUUUUAUCAUUCAUAUACCUCCAAGAACAGAUUAAACCAUUCAUUCUCAUAUCUAUAUAUGUCACCAGACAAAGAUGAUAACCAGGACUUCAACAUUUUCUUACUCCAAUGCAAUAGUUAUGUCGCUUAUAAGCAUAUAUAAAACUAGGACACAAUAGAUGUGCUAGAGAAAACACAUCAAUACAAAAGCCACCAUCAGAUCAGCAGGCCAGAUGAACUACCAAAUGCCUCAGUACCCUCCACUUUUCACUUAUAUAUAGACAUAGUCGAGCUGAGCUAUGAGAUUACCCACAAAGCCAGCCAUCCACUAGGAACUAAGUUAACUAAAUGCAAGCCAACAUGCACAUCCCAGAAAUAAGUACUCACAUCAUCCACCUACUCAAAUCCUACUAUUAGAACGACCUCCUCUACACCAGAGAACGAGCAUCGCCAGCUUCUGAGGCGCUGUCCCCUGAGCUCCCUGACCCUGAACCUUUAAACAGAGUCAAAUGGGAAACAUUGCAGGAAGUUUAAUUUUUUUUUCAAAAAGGGGGGACUCCCCGGCCUCUGUAUCAGAACGAUGCAUACUGCCAACUUUAUUAAAAAGCAAAUAGGUCCAACAAAGGUCUUAAAGUCAUAAUGAAAAUAAAGAAAAGCUCACAUAGAGCAUAUAAAAAAAGUAACCAUAGCGCCACAACCGGCCGGCAUAAACAAGAUAAGGAAACUAAUUUCCUAUCUUAUUACAUGACCGCCAUCCAAACAGGUUGAAAAUAUCCCGUGCUACCAUCUUUCACCGGAUAGAUCCAGUAACCAAACGCUCCCUGGCCUCCGUCGAAGUGAGUAGCGACCACGUACGGAUCAAUGCAGUGGCUCGGAAGAUAACCUGCAAAAAAUGAAAAUUUGUUGUUCUAUUAAAAAACCAAGUCAUUUUUGCAGUUCCAGACUGCCCACAAUAAAGCACAUACUCCUACGCGAAUGUGUCUCGCUGUUUCGGCCUCUAUCCCGUUAAGCCACGUUCCAAAUAACGUGCUGACAGAAUUCGGAGGAGUAAUAUUAAAGGCUAUGUGCACUGCCCGCCAUAGCACUUUUGCCAGCGGGCAGUCAAGAAAAAGGUGUUUGAUAGUUUCAUUCCGAUCACAAAAACUACACCUAGUAGGUCAUGUCCAGUUACGCUUUGCCAGAUUGUCUUUGGUUAAGAUGACUUGUUUAUGUACAAACCACAUAAAGACUUUAAUUUUCAAAGGAAUUUUGACUUUCCAAACAUGUUUGGAACUAGGAAUGGAGCUAGAGUUGAUAACAUCGAGAUACAUCGAUUUAACUGUAAAUUCCCCAUUCCUGGUAAGCUUCCGGCGCAACUGAUCGGGUUGUUGAGACAGCUAGACCUCUAUCAGUCUACGCACUAAAUGGAGCCAAACUUCCCAACGAUUACUGGCUAGCGUUCUCCUGAAUUGAAUAUUGAGGGGGAUGGACUGACAUACUGUUGCAACAGACGCUUCGCGUCGUUGAACAAUACUAUAAAGAGUCAGGUAUUGAAGCGCGAGGGGUGUCUCUCCUAGCCAAGUAUUCUCCCAGAAACGCGUGUUGGUGCCAUUUCCGAUUAUAAACUUUGUCCUAUUGAAAAAGGCUGAUUUGACUCUCAUCAACCCUUUCCAGAAAGGCGAAUCCGUCGGCCUUGCUGUCACUUGGGACAAAGUUUUGGGGUGAAGAUACUUACUACAGAGAAUUUGCGCCCAGGUGGCCUCUGUCUCUACAGAUAACUUAGACAGCCACUUGCUGAGAAGACAUCUGUUUUUGACUUCAAGAUUUUCAAUGCCAAGACCCCCUUGGUUUUUUGGUCUACAAGUAAUAUCUCAUUUGACGAAUCUGUAUUUUCUUUUUAGUUCAUCACUUUGCCAAAAGAAACGGGAUCAAUAGAAGUCCAGCUUUUUUCCAACUCCAACUGGAAUCUCAAAAAAAGACAAAAGAAACAUAGGCAUACUUACAUGAAGAAUAAACGAUGUUUCACAAAAAGGGAAAGAAUAAACACUGAGUUGGACAGUAGUACGACUGGAUGAUGAAGAACCACUGCCUGGACCCGAACCAGCAGAGACACCCGUGGCCGUGGCCUCAGUGCCCUUCUCUGUCUCCACUGAUUGGCAUCUCAUCCUCAGUAUCUACAUACUCAUCCACCUGCUCCGCCGCUAAUACAUCCGUCCCGCUCUCCUGUAAAUAUCAAAACAAAACACAACAAACAUGAGAGCCCAAUUUGCAUAUGCACUAACUGAAAACGGGAACAACACUUGUUGUUUCCUAUCAGCAUUGUCAACGAAUGUAGACACAGCACCAUUCGCAGCCUCAGCGCGGUAGCACCGUCGUAGACCAUGGCAAUGUCCUUCUGCGGUACGGAUCUGGCCGCAGCGCUUCCUCGUAGCUGCCCGGAGCUUCGCCGGUGGCGGGGGCAGGUCCUCCUUCAGCUGGCCCUGCUGAUGCUCCUGAUGCCACGAAUCGACGCGGGAGAGGAGGGCGCAGAACUGGCCGAUCCGGGUCCCUGGAGCGCACUGGAACCGCGGUGGCCAGCCUCGCCGGCCGGAGGACGAGGCAUCCGGCCGACGGCGAGACCAGACAGAAGCUUUCCCAAUUUUAUGUUUUUUUAGGGAACAGAGCCUCUCCCAGAUUUUUAUUUUUUUGAGAAAAAGGAGCCUCUCCCAGAUGUAACAAAUAUACACUGCAAAAUUUAGAAGGAGCUUCAAAUAUCAGGAGCUUUUAUUCACAUGUACACCAAAUUCAGUUGUACAAUAAAAAGCUCCACAAUGUGCUUCAACUAUCCUAUCUUAACUCGAGGAGAAAAUUCAGAAGAAAAAUAAGAAAGCAUGAACAAUACUAAGCUACUUGACUUGAGUUCCUGAUUAUUUGGUCUAGUUGAGUGAAACAAAUUGCACGGACAUUUCUACAAAGCACUGAAUCUUCAUCUACAGAGGCAUGCACAACAACAGAUUUUUUGGUUCUUCUGUCUUCCUUUUGCCAUCAUGCUGAUCAUCUUCUUUUUGGUUCUUCUAUGCUCUGUCAAUGAAUAAGAGAAUAACUUCAGCACAAGCAUAUCCAGAAGAAUAAAGGAUGCAAAUGGACAGAGCACAUAGUUAUGUGCUUGUGUUGCAACCAGCAGAUGAGCCGUCAUGCUCUGAACCUGAAGUUAUUUGCCAAGAUGCAGCUAGCAGGUCAAUGUAGAGAAGUUAGGCCACAACCGGUGGAGCCAAGCUGAGGAGGGUGGCCAUGGAAGGAGAUCAACACACCGGCGCGCGAGAAGCUUGGCCGUAGCCAAGGGGCGCGUGCAGCCCGUGUAGUGUGCCGACGUCGGUGGGAGUGGAGGCGUCCAGGAGCAUCGCUGUGCCCGGCGGGAGGAAGUAGCUGGGGCGGUGCCGCGAGUUGGGCCGCCGGCGGGGAUGGAGUGUGCCGAUCUGGGGUGGUGUGCUUGGCGUCGAGGAGCACGCCAGCGGCGAUGUUGCGAGCAGCAGGGGCGUAGCACACCGGCGGCUGGAAUUUGGGGCCAUCGAGAUGGAAUCAGGAUUUGCGGACAGGGAAGUGGGGGAACGAGACGGGGCUGCUGCUUUGAGAUUCGUGCUGUGUAAAUCGGACGGUAUGAAAAGCGUUCGGGCUGGAAGUCUUCAAGUACCUGACGUCAGGUAGUUAUCAUUUGUCUAAAUGUGUUUGUGCAAUUGUAGUCUUGGUGAUAUGUGCAACGCGAGUGCAUGAGAAAUAAUUUCCGGGACGAGUAAGAAAUGGCAUCUCCGAAAGAAUAAUCUUUUGUUUUUCGCGAGAAUACAUACACACAAAAGAAUAAUGUAAGAAGGGACAUGACCGCACUUCGUUUUGGUUGCUCUGUUUUUCUUCCACCAACGACCGCUUGUGCUUACGUACGCGGAUGAUCACGACAGGGCGAACUCAGAGCUCAAAGCCCUUAUAUAAUCCAACCUUUUCCUCGCAGCUCAAAGCCCAGCACACACAACACACGCGAGACGCGCAAUGGAUUCCCUCGCCUCCUUGAUGGACCUAGCGGCCUUGAUUUCCCAUGCCUGCCGCGACGCGGAGAUGCUGCCGGGCGCACUCAUCUCGUGCGGCGUCGUCGGGGCCGCCGCGGCGCUCUGCCUUAUCAUAUCCAAGGCGCCUGGAGGUAUAUUUCUCCACCAUGGCAGAGCACCCUUCUUCUUGUACUACGGCAUCCUCGUCGCCGUUGUGAUCUUCGGUCUCCUCCAGGCGUCCGCCGGCUUCUGGGUGUCGGGCGACGUGCCGCCGGGAAGACGAUCCUGUGGCUGGGCCUGCUGCCCAUCGUCUUCGUGGUUGCGCUCGGCGGCUUUGCGAUUCUGAGCAUGAAAUAGUUGAUGUACUGAUACCAGCGUCUCGUGUCAUUUGUGUUUUUGUACCGGCUGUUUGAGCUUGGUGUUUCACUUCCGUCCACCUGCACGGUAUGUUUGGGUCAUUACGAGGAUGGGUCUUCUGUUGUGCCUUCCGAUCCGUGUCAAGUUGGUUGUGGCGGAAUCAGAGGGGAACGAAGUUUCUCCCGGUGUUGUAAUGUUUGGGUACCUCUUGUCCUCUUUUAAAGGUUAUGCUCCCACUUCUUCUGUCCGUUAUAAAUGGUGCAUCAUAUAUGUGCCAUUUGAGAGUUUUCUUAUUUUCAUAUACUAUUUAUUUAAAUUGUUUUACCUUUUAAACCGUUCAAACCGUGAACCAUUUUCAUCGUUGUAUUUCUCGCCUCGGAAUAUUUGAAACUAGAUCCCAUAUUAAUAAGUUUUGAUGAACUUCUAUUAUGGAAAAAACUAGAAGAGAAAAUAACCGAGCCGGAAGCACGAUUUCCCCUGCUUUUUUCCCUUGUGCCUCUUCGAAGCAAAUCUGUACCUCUAGCGUAAGAAAAGAAACAUGUUUUCUUCUUUUUUGUGUGCCUCCACGAUAAGCAAAUAUGUGCCUCUCGUGAAAGAAAAGAACAUGGUUUUUUCCAAGAGGGACAGUUAUGCCUCUCGCAAAAGCAAAUAUGUGUUUCUCCUGAAAGAAAAAAUGCGCUUUUUUCUCUUUUCGAGAGGUACCGUUAUGCCUCUGACGGAAGCAAACUGCUUCCACGAGAAGCAAAUUUAUGCCUCUCACGAAAGCAAAUCAUGGGCCUCGUCGGACGAGGCCAUGGCACAACGUUCCCGCCGUGCAAGGCACCGGGCGCGGGAGACGGCCACAGCCCUCGCGGCGGUUGACGUCGGUGAGGAGGAGUCGCAUUCUCCAACGCCCUGUAUGACGCAUCAGUCCGGCCACCGCAACCGCGUCGUGGUGGACGUCUGCGACUCGUCUCAGGAUGGAUCCGUCAUCGAUCUGACGUCCACCGGCAUCGUUUGGGUUUCGGGCUCCGACGAGGAAGAGUAGGGCAUGAAAGACGACAACGCCUUGAGCCCCGUGGGCCAGCUCGUUUCCAUGCUCUACUCUACCUUGCCGGCGACCGGACCAACAUUCUGAGGAGCGCAGCCAGCCGCCGGACAUGGCCACGGCGGAGACGGGCGAGCGGCGAGCGGAACCGGGCAAGCUCCGUUUAGAUUAGGUUUCAUGUUGCAUGUAAUAAUAUGGAUUUGAGGUAUCUAGACGUGGAAUGCAUUUUUUGAGACGUGACCGGUCACUGUCCGCAGACGCAUCCAAUCACGUCCGCGGGUGUUUGAGGGGUCAGAUUUGCCAGGUCCGGCUAUAGAUGCUCUAACCUCUCCAAAAAGAAAUAUCUCCAUUGAACAAUUAAAAAUAAACUCACGCGUCAACCGCAUUUGGCUCCCUGUACUUUCGCAUUGUAUAUUGUUUCUCCUCUGCUCGCCGGCUCUCAACUCUCAACAUCCCUGGCUCCCUGUACUUUCGCAUUGUAUAUUGUUUCCUCCAUUGACCAUCGCUCGAAUAGCUCCCACCGGAUCUGAUGGAGGCCGCGAUUGCAUGGCUGCUGCAAGCCAUCCUUGCAACACUCCUGAUAGAUAAACUCGAUGCGUGGAUUCGACGAGUCGGGCUUGCCGAUGAUGUUGAAAAGCUCAAGUCGGGGAUCAGGGGCAUCAAGAUGGUGGUCUCUGCUGUGAAGGAGAGGGGGAUCAGGAACGAGUCGCUGGAUGAAUCUCUCGCUCUUCUCAAGGAUCUGCUCUACGAUGCCGACGAUGUGGUCGACGAACUCGACUGCUACAGGCUCCAAGAGCAAGUUCAUGGAGGUGGAGGUACGCCUACUGCCCGGCUGUCUGCAGAUCUGCUGGUUUGAUCAUAGCUUGCUUUAGAAAAAAUGAAAUUGAUACUAACUGGUCAAGGACGACCAUGCUUUUCUGGUCCAUUUUUCUUGUGGCACAGUUACAAGGGACGAGCCAGUCGAUGAGAUAUCAAUGGGGGAUGCUGACACACUGAAUAGCAGUGGUGGCACAUUACGGUCCGAGGUAUGGAAACACUUUACGAUCACAGAAAAGGAUAACGGAAAGCUUAACAAAGCAAUAUGUAGACACUGUGACAGUGAGUUUAACUGUGAUACGAAGACCAACGGUACAACAUCUAUGAGAAAACAUUUGGAGAAAGAACAUUCCGUAACUUUUAUGAAAAAAUCUGGAGCACAUCCACCAAACUCUUCAAGGUACCUAAAGAAAAUUGAAUAUAUCGUUUAUAUGCAUCUCCUUGAGUGCACUACCCACCAUUUUUCUUUUCUUACUGCAGCACUGAUGAGCCUAUUGUAAUUGGCAAAUCAUCCAGGAAAAGAAACAAACGUUGGUCCAAUGCAUGGGAUACUUUUGAUGUUAUUAUAGAAGAAGAAAACGGAAAGCCAAUCAAGCAAGAUGUAAAUACUGCCUCACAGAGAUCAAGUGCCGGGCAAACACCGGGACAUCAGGUAUGCUCAACCAUUGUAAGAUUUGUAAGAAGAAACCUGGACCAAAUGACCAGACACCAAACCUAUCAAGGUAGGCAAAGCAUGCAUCGACACAUUUUUAGAAAUCAUGUCUCGCUGGUUCUAAUAGCCAAUUGGCAAUGUUUUUCUUACUGCAGCACGGGUGAUGCUAUUGCAAUUCCGACACCUAUUGUAAUUGGUGAUUCAUCUAGCAGAAAACGAAGGAGAGUAGCUGAGGAGUCACCACAAAUCACUGCAGCUAAUACACACACCAUUUGGGACAAGGAUACAUUAUCCAAUAGGAUACGAGAAAUUAUUAAGCAGUUACAAGACAUCCAGGGGGAAGUGAGCGAGGUUCUCAAGCUACAUGUCUUCUCCUCCAGUUCAGAUCACAACCGGAGUACAACCUUUGAUCAGCACCUAAGGACAUCAAGUCUUGUUCGAGGAGAAGUGUACGGAAGAGUUGCAGAAGAGAACUCCAAAAUAAUAAAGAUGAUAACAGAAGAAAAAUCUGAUGGUGUAGUUGUUUUGCCUAUUGUAGGCAUUGCAGGUGUUGGGAAAACAACACUUGCUCAACUUGUAUACAGUGAUCCAAAUGUGGAACGCCAAUUUGACCAAAGGGUAUAGGUUUGGGUGUCGCACAAAUUUGACGAAGUGAGACUAACAAGGGGGAUGUUAAACUCUAUUUCUGGCGAAAGGCAUGAAGAAAUAAACUGUCUUGCGAAGUUUCAGGAGAUCUUGAAGAGUCAUGCCAACUCAAAGAGACUUUUAAUUAUUUUAGAUGAUGUUUGGGAUGACAUGAACAGUAAUAUCCAAUGGGAUAAAAUGUUGGCUCCUCUGGUAUCAAAUCAUGUGAAGGGUAAUGUGAUUCUAGUCACAACUAGAAAUAUGUCUGUUGCACAACGGUUAGGCACCCUCAAACCGGUCAAGUUAGGUGCUCUGGCAAAUGAUGACUUCUGGUUAUUGUUCAAAUCACGUGCGUUCGGUUAUGAGAACUGUGAGGAGCAUCAAAGUCUAAGUAUCAUCGGUCGGCAAAUAGCUGAGAAGUUAAAGGGCAACCCACUAGCAGCUGUCUCUACAGGAGACCUAUUAAGGAAGAAACUUAACACCGAUUAUUGGAGAAACAUUCUAAAGUAUGAAGACUGGAAAUCCAUGCAGCUCAGAGGAGGAAUUAUGGCUGCUCUGAAGCUUAGCUAUGAUCAACUUCCCUACCAUUUACAGCAAUGUUUCUCAUAUUGCUCCAUAUUCCCCGACAGUUAUCAGUUUCUUGGUGAGGACUUGGUUGGUUUUUGGAUUUCACAGGGAUUUGUAAACUGUAGCAACUCUAGCCAGAGAUUGGAGGAUAUAGGGCAGUGCUAUCUGAUUGAUUUGGUUAACCUGGGCUUCUUUGAAGAAGUUAAAAGAGAAGAACCCUAUCUAGGCAGUCAAGUUCUUUAUGCCAUAUGCGGUCUCAUGCAUGAUUUUGUGGUGAUGGUUUCAAGGACCGACUGUGCAAGUAUAGAUGGUCUGCAGUGCAACAAAAUGCCUCAAACUAUACGACAUUUGUCAAUAGUAACUGGUUCUGCAUAUAACAAAGAUCAGCAUGGGAACAUUCCUCGUGAUGAGAAGUUUGAAGAAAUUCUGAGAAAUGCAAUUACAUCAGUUAGCAGAUUGAGGACAUUGGUGUUACUUGGGCAUUAUGACUCUUCAUUCUUAAGAGUGUUCCAAGAUAAAUUCAAAGAGGCACAUAAUUUACGCCUGCUGCACAUGUCUGCAAGAUCCGCUGAUUUUCGAAAACGUGCGUCUGAUGAGGUGGACGGGGCUUUCCCUCAAGUUUUGAGCAAGUUGUACCAUCUUCAAGUAUUAGAUGUGGGGUCAUACACUGAUCCUAAUAUACCUGAUGGUAUUAAUAAUCUUGUUAGCCUACGGAAUCUUGUUGUACACAAGGGGUUGUACUCUUCCAUUGCUACCAUUGGUAACAUGACAUCUCUUGAGGAGCUACAUGGUCUUAAGUUUCAAAUUACUAGCAACUUUGAGAUAACACAGCCACAAUCCAUGAGCGAGCUUGUACAAGAUUGGGUACAUCAACUAGAUAAUGUUAAAACUCUGAAGGAGGUUUAUGAGGCAGCCCAGAAAAAAAACGAACUCUUAGAAAAACUGCAUUUAUCCUGGAAGGAAUCUCCUGAGGAAACAUGCGUGGAGCUCUUGCAAAUGGAUGUAAGUGGCCUAAGUUCUGAGCUGUCUAUGGACACAGAAAGAGAGGUGCUUGAGGGUCUUCAGCCAGAUCGGCACUUAGAGAUUCUCCAAAUAUCUGGGUACAGUAAUGCUACCUCACCCACUGGGCUUGCCAGCAAUAUCUCAUUUACCUCCUUGCUGACGCUUCAGCUAUACAAUUGUGGAGAGUGGAAAACACUUCCAUCUCUAAGAAGGUUUACGUUUCUGACAAAGCUAAAGUUGAGCAACCUGCAGAAAGUAAAAGAUGUAUUGGUUCCUUCACUGGAGGAGCUAAUUUUAGUUGAAAUGCCGAAGUUGGAGAAAUUAUCAUGCACUUCUGUGGAAGGUAUGAGCUCUAGCCUAAGAGCACUGCAGAUCGAGGAUUGUCAGGCACUAAAGGAGUUUGAUCUGUUUGAGGACAAUGAUAAUUUCGGAACUGAGCAGAGGUCAUGGUUGUGUGGUCUUAGGAUAUUAAUUCUGAGUGAUUGCCCACAUUUGAAAGUGUUGAAGCCUCUUCCACCCUCACCCGCCUGUUCUGACUUGCGCAUCAGUGGGGUUUCAACACUUCCGUAUAGUAUGAAGGGAUCAUCUAGUGAAAAGUUAUGUAUUGGGAAUUUUGAUAAGGAUAAGACGAUGGCUUGGUUGAAUCUUUUGAUGAGCUGAGAAUACUGGAUGACAAAAUUUUGGCAUUUCAUAAUCUUAGCAACCUCAAAUUCAUGGAUAUAUCUGAUUGCCAAGAUCUAAGGUCUUUUUCGUUUGAAGGUUUUAGUAAUCUCGUCUCUUUAACGAAUUUGGGAAUAUCCAUGUGCAAAGAACUUUUCUCUUCGGAUGUGAUGCCAGAGCAUACCCUUGAAGAUGUGAUAGUUACGAAUUACAGGGCCUUCCCAUCUCUUAAAAGUCUGACUAUUAGCUCAUGUGGAAUAGCGGGGAAGUGGCUAUCUCUGAUGCUGCAACAUGCGCCUUACCUCGAGAAACUGAGUAUAGAUGAUUGUGAACAUAUAACAACAGUACUGUUACCGAUGGAAGCGGGAGAAAAUAGUCUAUCAGACAUUAUCUCAGCCAGGGAGGACUCGUCAUCGGGAAACCAAGAUGAAACAUCGACCUGGUUAGCUCGAGAUGGACUCUUGCACGUUCCAUCAGAUCUCAUCUCCUCUCUCAAGGAGAUAUUUAUUUGGAAUUGCCCUCGUCUAACAUUUAACCAGGGCAGCGAAUGCUUCUCUGGAUUCACCUCCCUUGAGAGGCUAAUGAUUUGGGUUUGCCCUGAGCUUCCCUCGUCAUUGGUGCAUAAAGAGGGAAGUGAUGACGGGGAGAACGGGAGAUGGCUCUUCCCGAUAUCACUUCGGGAAUUUGACAUCAGCGGCUAUUCCCAAGAAACACUGCAACCCUGCUUUCCUAGAGAUAGUACCAGCCUGACAAAGUUAGCGGUAUGGAGCAGCCCAGAUUUGCAAUAUCUACAGCUGCACUCAUGCACCGCACUGGAAGAGUUGUUUAUCAAUGACUGUGAAUCGCUCGCUGCCAUAGAGGGCUUGAACUCCCUUGGCAACCUCAGGCAUUUGACAGUAUACGGCCUCAGGCAGUUGUCUGCAUGUUUGGAAAGCUUUUCAAGGCUGAGCUAUAGACUAUGCUCUCAGCUGGAAACACUCAAGAUCGAUGACCCAUCUGUCCUUACCACGUCAUUCAGCAAGCACCUCACCACCCUGCAACGCCUACAACUUACACGUUUGAAGAAAGUGAGGAGACUGACCAAUGAGCAAGAGAGAGCCCUUGUGCUCCUCAAGUCCCUGCAAGAGCUCGGUUUUUCUUAUUGUUUUGAUCUAGUAGUUCUUCCUGCGGGGCUGCACAACCUUCCUUCCCUCAAGAAGUUGAAGAUGGACGCUUGUCCGCGAGUCUCAAGGCUGCCGGAAACAGGCCUCCCACUUUUGCUGGAAGAACUAGACAUCAAGUUUUGCAGCAAGAAGCUGGCUGAUCAAUGCAGGCUGCUAGAAACAAGCAAGCUAAAAGUCAAAAUUAGUCUAUGCUCUUGAAUUGGUUACUGGACGCCAUAUUAAGCACAUGUUUCUUCUACACAUACAACAACAAAUAUUGCUGGCUUGCUUUUAAAUAGAAGUGUUAUCAUCUAUGUUUUUAAGGCGACGCCUUACCGCCUUAGGGAGGGGGGGCGCUUUGGCGCCUAGGCGACGCCUAGGCGGGCGCUUUGGACGCCUAGGCGCCCAAAGCGGUCGAUUUUCCAAAGCGGAGGGGGAGCGCUUCGACGCCUAGGCGUCGCCUUAGGGACGCCUUUAAAACAUAGGUUAUCAUUCCGGAACGAAUACAUCAAGUGACAGGUAAACUGGCAUGUUUUGUUGUUUGUUAUUCAUCUCAUCAUGUCAACUAAAGAUAGUUAAUGUUCUUCCUUUUUUGUGGUGUGAUUAAUUUUCAUUUCCUCAACUGCAGAGUGCAGAGAUAACUACUGGAGAUAAAUCAGAAGGCGUCUUAUGUUAUUUAUUACACAAGUUGGUUACUUGGUUUAACGCAGGCAUUCCUUGCUACACCAUGCACAUAUGCUCUGCAGCUACAGUAAUGCAUAUCGGAUAUCGGAAUACUAGCAACAAGAUGAGACAGAUAUGCUGGGUUUAAUUAAAUUCAUGUCUUGUUCUAAUGAUCAGUCAGAAGUCAAAUGGCUCGGCAGACAACUAUUAUGUUCAUAAAAUUAUUAUUUCAGGUGGGGAAGCACUCCCCCUGGUGACGUUUCAAAAGAAAAAAAAUAUUUAAUUUGAAUAUGUAAGCCUGUCGUCGGCGAUUACUAGUUUCCUUUGUGGUGAUAAUGAGUGAUGCAGACAUGACGGCAUGUGUAUGUGCUAUGCUAUCCUGGUGCGUUCUAACAAGCUCAAUUUUUUCACAUAUUUUUGCCUUUGUGGUGCUUCAACUAUCAAACUGUUCUUGUAUCGUCACACAAUUUGCUCCAGAUCUUUAGUCGUUCUCUCAGUGGUUCUUUGCUUUGCAGACUUGCGGUUGUCAUUUUCUUUAAUCUUAACCUGAUAUUUUGCUAGAGCCAUGGUCGGGAAUGUGCGACACAAAUAAAAUUUCAUAAAAAAGAAGUAAAGGCCAGGAUUAGUUACCCGAGUGCAUGAUUAGAUCAGAGAAGAACAAGCAUCAACUCAUUGUUUCAAUUCGUGGAGAAGAAACUUAUCACGUCAUCUCACACCAGCACUGAAACUGCAUCAAUCAUUUCGGCCAUUAAGCAAUUGCUCAACAUUAGCAAGGAAAAAAUGUGUUAACAGUGACAAACAUAAGCAACCUAAUUUCCCAGAAAUUGCAACAGCUAGCCUGCACCUUUUUUCCAAAAGAAGCUCACCUGCACCAGGUACUGACAUUCGCGCAGUUAUAAUCAAGAAAUGCCUAUAGCAACAGGAAAUUAUAAAGUUACAGGAUAAUAAAUAUGCCAGUUUAAGCUUGACAUAUCUGAUAAUAAUAUAGUUAGACAACUGUUGAAACCAAAGGUGGGUAUAAUCUUAGAAAGUCGAGCAGCACUACAAGGAUGGAAAUUCGCAUUCAACUCAUGUUUGCAUGGCUACUGAAAUUUAUAUCAUACAUAUGCCAUUCUCAUGUCCAUAUACAUCACAAGACAAAGAGGAUAGCCAUGAUUUCAAUAUUUUCUUACUCCCAUGCCAUAGUUGCGUCGCCCAUAAGCAUAUAUAAAACCAGUACACAAUAGAUGUGCUAGAGAAAACACAUCAAUACAAAAGCCACCUUCAGAUCAGAAGGCCGGAUGAACUAGACCAUGCCUCAUUAGCCUCCACUUUUCACUUAUAUAGACAUAGUUGAGCUGAGCUAUCAGAUUACCCACAAAGCCAGCCAUCCACUAGGAACCAAGUUAACUAAAUCCAAGCCGACAUGAACAUCCUGGAAAUAAGUAAUCACAUCAUCCACCUACUCAAAUCCACUGUUAAAGCAACCUCCUCUACACCAGAGAACGAGCAUUGCUAGCUUCUGAGGUGCUGCCCCCUGGGCUCCCUGACUCUGAUCCUGUAAACAGAGUCAAAUGCAAUACAUUGUAGGAAGUUUAAUUCAUUUUUUUUUUGGAAAAGGGGAUGUACCCCAGCCUCUGCAUCAGAAAGAUGCAAGGAAGUUUAAUUCAUGAAGAUUAAAAACGAUGUUUCUCAAAAAGGGAAAGAAUAAACAUUUGGUUCAGCAGUACCACUGGAUGAUGAAGAACCACCACCCGAACCACCAGAGACAAUCAUGGCCUCAGCACCCUUUUCGAUCUCCACUGAUUGGUAAGUUGCGGUUGGCAUCUCAUCAUCAAUAUUUACACACUCAUCCACCUGCUCAGACACUACAGUGUUCUCAGGAUUCUCGCUCUCCUGUAAAUAACAAAACAAGCAACACCCGUGAGAGUCCAAUUUGCAUACCCACUAACUGCAAACAAGAACAGCACAUGUUGUUUCCUCUAUGGCCAUUACCACAUCAGCAUUGUCAACCAAUGUAGGCACAGCACCAUUCACAGCUUCAGCUCCAACAGCAUCGUUGACCUCAGCAAUGUCCACAUUCAUCAUCACGGCUCGUCGGCUCCUUUGAGCGCCUUGUUGAACAUUUCGACCAUGUAAGUAGCAAUCCCUGCAAAGAAAAGAAGAACAUUCGCAAUGGGCAAAUUUGCCGCACUGGCAAACACAAGCUGUAACUCAGAAAUAUUUGAAUGUAAAAUUAACUCAGAAAUUCGCACCAGCACACCAAACACGUUUUACUGGCACUUCAAUUAAAUGUUGGGAAAAGCUUACAGCAACAGGAAGUUCUCUUACCCAGUAAUAACAAGCCAGUUAAAAAUAAUACAUACUCUAACUGAAAUCAAGGGUAUAAUUUCAGAAGAGGCAAGAAGCGUCACCAGGACAAAAGAGUCCCAAUCAACUCAGGUUUGCUGGUACUGAAAUUUUUAUCGCUCAUAUACCUUUGAGAAAGAUUAAACCAUUCUCAUAUCAAUAUAAGUCACCAGACAAAGAUGGAAACCAUGAUUUCAACAUUUUCUUACUCUGAUGCGAUAGUUAUGUCGCCCAUAAUAAGCAUUAGUACACAACAGAUGUGCUAGAGAAAACACAUCAAUACAAAAGCCACCUUCAGAUAGAAGGCCAGAUGAACUACAACAUGACUAGGUACCCUCCACUUUUCACUUCUAUAGACAUAGUCGAGCUGAGCUAUCAGAUUACCCACAAAGCCAGCCAUUCACUAGGAACUAAGUUAACUAAAUCCAAGCAGACAUGAACAUCCCAGAAAUAAGUACUCACAUCCUCCACCUACUCAAAUCCUACUGUUAGAACAACCUCCUCUAAACAAGAGAACGAGCAUCGCCAGCUUCUGAGGCGCUGUCCCCUGAGCUCCCUGACCCUGAACCUGUAAAGAAAAUUGAAUGGGAAACAUUGUAGGAAGUUUAAUUCAUGAGAAUAAACGAUGUUUCUCAAAAAGGAGAAUAAUAAACAGUAGGUUCGACAGUACCACUGGAUGAUGAAGAACCACUUCCCGAACCACCAGAGACACUCGUGGCCUCAGCGCCCUUCUCGAUCUCCACUGAUUGGUAAGUUGCGGUUGGCAUCUCGUCAUCAAUAUCUACAUACUCAUCCACCUGCUCAGGCACUACAGUGUUCUCAGGAUUCUCGCUCUCCUGUAAAUAACAAAACAAACAACACCCGUGAGAGUCCAAUUUGCAUAUCCACUAACUGCAAACAAGAACAACACAUGAUGUUUCCUCUACGGCCAUUACCACAUCAGCAUGGUCAACCAAAAUAGGCACAGCACCAUUCACAGCUCCAGCUCCAUCAGCAUUGUUGACAUCAGCAAUGCCCCCAUUUAUCAUUGCAGCUCGUCGGCUCUUUUUGAGCGCCUUGUUGAAGUUGUUGACAAAUCGAUCAAGCUCCCACUGCGUCUCGAUGUCCAUUUCAUCGAUAUCCAGCUCAAUCUCAUCCCCAAGCAGCUCCGGGUUAUUGACAUUCCUCUUGCGCACAAUCUGCAGCACAUUAUGCAUCUUCUCUUCAGGUAAGCUCUCCAGCCCCGCCCUAAGCAUGUUCUUCUCCUCCAAGCUCAUCUGCCUCUUGUUCAGCUCCCUCGCCUUGGGUUUCGGCAUCCUCACCGCCCUCGGCUUGACCUGUGCUGGGAGUGGGACCACCGGAGGUGGCAGUUCCGCUGGAACUGGCAAUGGCACUGGCACCGGCACCAGUGAUGGAAGGCGUCUGCAUUCCUCCUCGAACCAAGAGACGGCGGCAGCGUACAUCUUCUCGAACGAGGCGAGGAGGUCGCCGGCGAAGGUGUGGACGGUGUGGCCGGCCGGGUUGUACCGCAGCGCGUUGGCGAAGGUGAGGCGGACGUCGGCGGCGAAGGCGUCGUGCGAGGGGUAGUUCCUGGCGGCGAGGUUGGCCUUGACGGUGCCGAGGUCCAUGGGGCUCUUGAUGACGGCGUGGUAGUCGUGGAGGCCGAGGGUCUCGACCUCGACGGGCGCGUUGAACCAGAUGCUCCGCUUGUCCUUGCGCAGCUUGGACAGGAUCUGCGCGCACCGCUUCCGCAUCGCCGCCCGCAGCUUCGACGGGGGCGCGGGGAGGCCGCCCUCCCUCGGCUGGCCCCGCCGCGGCUGCCGGUGCUGCUGCUCGAGCUCCAGCUCCUGCUGCCACGCGUCGAUGCGGGAGAGGAGGGCGCGGACCUGGCCGAGCUCGCCCGCGAGGCGGUCCCGGAGCGCGCCGGCCUCGCGGUGCGUGAGCCCCGACGGCCGGAACGUGGCGUAGCCGACCCCCGGCGAGGCCAGCGGGUGCUGCGCCCUCGAGCCGUCGGCGGGCGGGAGGGCGCGGUGGCCGGGGUUAGGGCUCGGCGCGGGCGCGAGCGGGCCGCGAUUGUCCCCCCAGUGGUGGCUCUGCGCGCGGCGGCCGGCGAUGAGCGCGGAGGCCAUGGCCGCCGGUGCCGGGAUCGGUGGUGGGCUCUGCCAGUUGGAUCCGGUCCCCGUCCCCGUCCCCGUCCCCGAGAGCGCACGGCAGCCGAGGAGGGGGGGGGGAGAUUUUUUUUCCGCUGCGCGGCUGGUGGAUCCACCCGNNNNNNNNNNNNNNNNNNNNNNNNNNNNNNNNNNNNNNNNNNNNNNNNNNNNNNNNNNNNNNNNNNNNNNNNNNNNNNNNNNNNNNNNNNNNNNNNNNNNNNNNNNNNNNNNNNNNNNNNNNNNNNNNNNNNNNNNNNNNNNNNNNNNNNNNNNNNNNNNNNNNNNNNNNNNNNNNNNNNNNNNNNNNNNNNNNNNNNNNNNNNNNNNNNNNNNNNNNNNNNUGGGGAAGGAAGGAGGCAUCCACGCCGUCAGUUGUCUGCUGGACGGCCCAGAUCCGGCCCGAGGCGGGGGAACGGAGGGGGGGGUGGACGGCGGGGAUCUCUGACAUGUGGGGCCCGCGGGGCCGGGCUGGCAGCGGGACGUGAAGUGAAGCGGGUGCGGGAACUUUGACUUGCACGGCUCGCUCUCUCAUCAUGGCGCGAACCAAUUGCUUCGGCGCCUCCUACGUACACGAAUCCAGUGAUGAAGCAAAUUUACCUUUGCAUUCGUUUUUUUAGAUAGAUUCUUUACCUCGCAUUGUUUCCGGGCCAACGUACAGGCAUUUGAAGUUUGGGAUGCUGCAUUUUACUGCGUCCUGUUACGGGAGGGCAAAGGCAGCAAAUGCGUAUGGGGGCCCUGCCAUGCGUCCCCCCAUGUUGGAUUGCUUUCGAAUCUAUGCCUGCCUUUAUAUGCGAGGCCAAAGCGAGGGAGGGAGCCACCAUGUGCCCCAGCCCAGCCCCGCCCCGUCCCGUCCCGUGUUGUGUGGCAGAAAAGCAUGAUCUGAUCCGCGGAGUGCUUUGUGGUCUUGAAUGCCGGCCUGGCUGUGGGCUGUGGCCGCUUUCCUUUUGCUUGUAGGACGAUAGAACCCACGCGAUCCGUGCGGACUGUGCGUGGUCUCUUUUGUGGUUGCGGCAUUCACGAACGAGGUAAUAGCACCCUAGGUACCCUAACUUGCACAGAACGUGACGAUUUAGUCCUAAAUUUAUAAAAUUUGACUCCAUCAUAUCCCAACUUAUACCUCAUGUGAUAAUUUAGUCCCAGGCCAAUCACAGCUCGACAAUCGGCAGCCAAGCGGCUGGACCGGUCAGCGCACGCACUUUUACACAAAACCCCCUGCCGUUUCCUUUAAUCAACCCGCACUCACCUCCACCUGAAUUUGCCGUGACAUCCACAUGACAACGGCUAGCUCCCGUGACUCCGCUCCCCCACCCCACCAGCCCCCACCGGCGGCGGCCACCCCGGCCCCGUCGCCCCCCCUCUCGGCACCGCGCGUCCCACGUCGCUCACCACCGCAGCCCCCCGCUUGCAGGUUCAGAGUGGAGAAUGGGGGUCGUCGACGCGCGCACACCCGCAUGGCUGCGACGGCGGCCGACCCGCUGCUCGCCGCCCCGGCUCCCCCUGCCGGCGCUGGCUCCAUUCAGCAUCUGAAGCCCCCGGCAACGAGCCCCUCGGGCCUCCCAUCGCUACUCCCAGCCAUGGCAGAUCUGGCCCCCGCCUCCCCGCUGCAUCUGCCGCCUCCGACGGGCCAGAUCCCCUUGCCUGGCGUUGAGGUCGAGGAUGGGGAGUUCGCUGCGCCGUCGCCACCGGCGGGCCUUGUCUCCGGAGAUGCGUUGCUUCAGUCUGUUGUCGUGGUGGGUGAUGAACCGACCCUGCAGUCGCCUCCACCCGUCUCCAGCCGCAGCGGAGACGUUGUCGAGGAACUGACGCAGCAACCGCCUCCUCCCGUCGCACAAGAGCCCAAAGUUGGUGCGGCUCUCCAGCCUUCAGAUCUGUCAGCUCGUGGCGCUGGCAAUGUCUGCUCCACAGAGCAUGCGUCGCAGUCGCCCACGGCUGCUGUGGAGGGCUCCUGCCAUGGUGUUGCUCGCGUCUCGUCGAGCUGUCCCGCGUUGCUUCAAGGUAGGCGUAGAGUGCUCCAGCGGCGACGUCGGCGGCAGCACGGAAGAAGAAGAGUUGUGGGCAAGCGUCGACGGGAAGCGCGCGGUGCAAGCGCGGCGGCCGCGGCUGAACUUCAGGGGGAACCAGACCGUGUUCGUGGACGGAGCGCCGGUGGAUGUCAUGUGGGACCUGCACGGCUGGUGGUUCCGAGAGCCUCCGUACGGCAGCGCCGUGGUCAUGCUCCGGGCGCGCAGCGCGCUGGAGAGACGGCUGUGGCUAGAGGAGGAGGUCGCCACCGGCGCGCCGGGGUUCUCGCUCGUCCUCCAGGCCUUCAAGUCCCGCGCUGAUGGACUAUCAUGUGCCCCUGCCCAUUGAUCAUACAUGUAGCUACUCUAUUCAAAUGAGAAGACGGCGAGCUUCAUGGAGUUAAGCAAACUGCCUGUUUCACUGAAGUCGAAGGGAUCAGUAAGUUUACAAGCAACAUGAUCAUGAACAUAACAGGUGAUAUACAUUGAUGUGAGUGUGUAGUGUAGGCAAAUUUCAUCUCCCUUGCUAGUUGAUUUUACUCUUCUCCGAAUCAUAACUUGUGAUGUGUGCAAGUACAGAAAAGCAAAAAAAAGUGUGCAGUAGAUUGGAUCCUUCUGUGUUGAAUGGUGAAAUCAUACUUUAGAUCCUUCUGUGUUGAAAGAUGAAAUCUUACUUUGGAUCCUUUUGGAAUAUUAUGAAUUAGAGAAAUUUACAUGCUUUCUCAUUCCAUUCGCGAGGAGCUGGAUGAGAAGAAACUCUCAUGUCCAGUUUUGCAGUUCUGUGUUGAAUGAUGAGGUGGUGUAGAUAUGGGGGGCAAUAGUUUCUGCUUGUUGCCACUUACCUUCACUACUGACUGUUCUUAUGUAAAUACACCAAUAACAGUGGUACAGUUACAAGUGAUUGUUGCAGCAUAAAUAAUCUAUCAACAGGUAAUAGUAGGUGUAAUUCUACUAACGCUGAGGGGUAUUAUCAGCCUACUGUUUGAUGGCCAUUGACAUUCACAUGUUAUCCUGGUGAGACCAGUCAUGAAAUUUUAGUUACCAAAAGAAAAGAAAAAAUGGAUACAUGAUGCUUCACUAGACAUACACUGUCUUCCCAGUCCCAAAUAUAUGCAAACAGUUGAUGUUCGGGAAGAAAUUGUGCAUGCCUGUCUGAGUACUCGAGUGUGAUAAACAGUCAACUGCUUGGGUGUGAUCAACAAAUAAUGUGGUGCUUUAAGAAAAAACCUGAAUGAAUUCUCAUAUUUACAUCAACUCUCUGUAAAACUAACAUAUAACAGCCAUCCUUGCACACAUGAAAAUGUUUCUGAUUCUACAGGUCUGCUAAGACUGCAGGAGAAAACGUCAGAGCAAAAAGAGGUAGAUUCAACAUCAAAAUAGUAGUGAGUAGUUGAUUUCCAAAUACCUGGUAAAAUAAGUCAGUGUCACAUUUUCUCCAUUUGGCUCGUGUUUUUUUGUCCAUAUAGGAAUGGUAAUUCAGUUUAGUAGCAUUUUCUAGCGCAUGAUUCUUUGUUCUGUCAUUGUCAUAGUUAUCUCCAAAAGGAUCAAAAUCAUCAGUAUCUCCAAAACGGGAGCUUCCGUGAAAAGACAUCAACAAAUAACAGGACAGGGGAAAGUCAGCGAGAUCAUGAUUAAAGCAGCAUACCAACUCAUCAAAUUUAAGCAUACAAAUUUAGAUGCUGAAACAAACAACUGCAGCAGCAACGCCAAGUUCAGAUACCCUAUCUGAAAAAGUGAAAUAUCUACAUGAUAAAAUAGAAAGUUUGCAAAUCAAACUGUAGCAUUGCUGUCAAUGGCUGGUUAAUUACAUAAAACAACAGGGUGUUUCUUGCAAAAGUGUGUGCGCUGACCGGUCCAGCCACCUGGCUGCCAAUUGUCGAGCUGUGAUUGGCCUGGGACUAAAUCAUCACAUGAGGUGCAAGUUGGGGUAUGAUGGAGUCAAGUUUUGCAAGUUUGGGACUAAAUCAUCACAUUCUGUGCAAGUUAGAGUACCUGGGGUGCUAUUACCUCUUCACGAACCGUCACCGUGCGUGACAGAUUGUGGCACCUUUUUUUUUGAAGCAAAUUGUGGCACCUUGAAAGGUGGGCGCGGCUAGUGUGACGUCGUGGAACUUUUUGGCAUCGCUGGCUGCUGACUGCGGCUGCGGGGCAGUGAAGCCCACACGUGUGGUCUGUGGAGUAGACUGUGGUGCCGCUGCCACAGACCGAUCCACGCUGAGAGUCGGCGCAGAGCGGCGUCGAGGCCGACUGGCCGAGUGACACACGCGCGCUGCCUCAGGCGAGAUCGCGGGCCAUACUGAUUGGCAACGCAUGGGGGAAUACGUGCCGCGUGACGAGGGCCGGGGCGGGCGUGCACUAUGUCUGUGUGGUGUGGACAUUAGGCUAGCACAACGCAUUCGAUUGGGUUCCAACUUCCAGUGGUGCUGAAACUGGGCAACGUUGCCAUUGACACAUCAGACAGUCGACAUCAUGUUUCUCGCUGUGACAAUGAUGACUUCAUGAGGGUGGUUUCAGUGGUCAGUGCACUUCGGAGGUUAUGUUGGACUAGGUCGGUGCGAGGCUUGCAACUUUCUUCUGUGAAGCUUAUCAGCAAAAUCGAAGUUGCCUUGUCCUCGAUGCUUGUGGCCGAUUGUUUGGCAGUGGUCGACAGGAUUCUCGUCUUUCNNNNNNNNNNNNNNNNNNNNNNNNNNNNNNNNNNNNNNNNNNNNNNNNNNNNNNNNNNNNNNNNNNNNNNNNNNNNNNNNNNNNNNNNNNNNNNNNNNNNNNNNNNNNNNNNNNNNNNNNNNNNNNNNNNNNNNNNNNNUGCUUGCCCAAGGAGAGGUGAUGACGAUGACAUGGCUAUCAUCUUUGACGAUUUCUCUCCUCGGCGGAGUGUGUGUGGGUCUUGUGGGUAGUCAGAUCGGUCAGGUGCCCUAUCAUAUGGGCGUGUUGUAACAAUUUUCGCUUGGAUUUCCAUUAAUUAAAGGGACAAUUCUCUUCUAUCUUUUUUCAAGAAUCGGACUCUAAGGCAGCACAUUUCCAAAAAAAACUGUAACGUUACAAUGUGUUUGCUGAGUCGGCUAGCCGUAGGACGGACGUGAUUUAUCCUAAGAGGCACGAAACAUUGAAUGGCUGGAAUUUUUUGAGGCACCACAUGGCAUGCGAUGAGGCGGUUCUGCUGUUGGUCGCGGAGACGGUAUGUUUAGAGCUCUAGCAUAUCCACUAAAACCUCGUCGGCCCAUAAAAUUUUGACUGUUUUCAGGUUUUUGCCUUUUUAUGACCUGAAUAGAACUGCUAAAAGCCCACUGAUCUGUAAAUUUUUUUAGGCAACCCGCAAAUCUGCCUCUCAACUGUUAUACAUACAAGGCCGGCGUUCUUUUAGGGUUAGCAAAGCGGAUAAGCACCGCCGCCAAGAUACUCCUGCGCCGGUAGGUUUAAAGAGCUCCGGCGAGCAAUUAACUGCGCAUCUCCUACCCCUUUUCGUCGUCAACGACAGAUCCAUGGCCGGCAGAUCCACCUAUGGUCGUGGCUGGUGGAGGCUGAGGCGGGCACGGAAGCAUAGUGAGCAAGCAACACCGCCAUGACGCCGUGCAAGCAAGCUCGAGCUGGCGCAGCUCAAGCUUGCUUGCCUGGCGUCGUGGCGGCGGCGCUUGCCCGCCGCGCGAGGGGAUCUGUUUGGAAUACUUGUCGUGGUUCCAAACCUCUCUGUUCUCUCUGUUUGGCCACAUAUGCAGCCUGCGCGACAUGGUCGACGCAAGUGACUUCAACGGACGCCUUGAUGGCGAGAUGUUCCUCGGAGUUUUGGUUUGGCAUGAGCGGCAAAAAUGACGGCCUUGACGACAUGAUGCCCCUUGAGCAUCAUAUUGUCAUCCAUCUCUUGCGCGUGUCAAGAAAAUGUCCGUGUAAUUCAGAAAAAAAGUUUCAUUCCAUUUUAAAAAUGCUACGAGUUUAAAAAAUGUGUGUUAUAAAAAAUACACUUAUCAUUCAAAAAAAUGCUUCAACGUGUAUUUCGAAAAUGUUUAACUUGUAUUAAAAAAAUAUUCAACAACAUGUACUGGAGAAAAUGUUAAUCAUGUAUUUGAAAAAUGUUUAAACGUGUAUAAAAAUAUUUUACUUGUAUAAAAAUGUACAAUGUGUAUGAAAAAAAUAAAAAUCGAAACAUAUAUUUGGAAAAAAUUAAUUACUUGAAAAAUAUUAAAAGUGUAUAAAAAUGUUCUUUGUGUAUACUAAAAGUGUACAUUAUGCAUGAAAAAUGUAGACAUGUGUUAAAAAAAGAAAAUGAGGAAAACCAAGAAAAUUGAAGAAAAAAUAAAAACAAAAAACCCAAAGAAAGAAACAAAGAAAACCAAAAAAAGAUAAAAACCGACGCAAACAGUGAAAAAACGAAAGGAAUACUACAAAGGAAAGAAAAAACUUGCGGCUCAGUAGCACCGCUGCAGAGGCGAGAUGGAACUACCGGCUCACAACGGGCAAGAAAUAGCCCUGUCGUAAUUUGGUUCGCCUUUUCUUGUUGGCUUGAGGCUGCAGGGGUUUCAAAUGGGCUAAAGAUAUAUGCCUCUCUUCUCUGAAAUUUCAUGGUGUUUCUAGAUGAGAAUUUGAAACUUCUAAUUUCCAAAAUGUUCAUCCCCAAAUUUUGGAAGCUUUCUCUAUAAUUUUCAAACCGCUUCUGAAUUUCCAGAAUAUCAUCAGAGAACAGUGGACGGGUGAAAGAAUGGGGGCAUGGGUAACUGGGACAGCCAUCUCUCUACUUGCUGGGUGAACUGACAGAAACAGAACACAAAGAUAAAUAAAAAGAGCAAAUGCCAAAAAGGCAAAGAUCUGAAACCAUAAACUUAGACCGAUUUUGCACAUAAAUGUCACCACGACAAAUACUUCCCAAGCCAAACCAUCGGAUGCAAGAUUUAUUUAUCAUCACACCACACAGCACAUGAUUCAGACACGCCUCAGCUGGCAAGGAACACACACAACACAACGCUACCUAGGCCUUCCUGCAGACGUCUCCCUCGCACACGUACCCAGCUGGGGCAGCAGCAUGCUCCUGCCCAUUCACCUCCUCUCCCUUCUUCUCCUCACCCAGCGCACACUUGGUGUGCAGAUCGAAGUCGCACUCCGCGCAGUUGUAGGACCAGGAGGUGCCCAUCUCUUCGCACCCGUCGCAGCCGUACGGCCUGGGGCGGCGGAUCAGCACGAGCUCGUGCUCGUGCAGCUCGUGCUUCAGCUUCUCAGGCCACCCCUUUGCCAUCUC
rnacentral:lncRNA from 1 species